AAAAUACUAAAUUCUCCAGGGAUGGCGAUGUGAUGAGAAAAUUUUCUGAGAAAAAGCAACUCAAGUUUAUCAAGUUUCCGAGUUGUAGCUGUUGUAGGCAAGGGAGUGCAAUGGCACGAUCAACUCCAUGCUUUUCUUUUGCCACAUUGAAGACUUGUUGCAAUUGAGGAGAAUCGCUUAUCGAAACGAAUUUCAAUCGUGGAGGAACUUGAGCCAAAGAAAUUUGAAAAACAUAUUCCAGUUUUGGACAAUUACUUAUGGUUAGAGUUUCCAAUUUUGGCAAGAAUGGAGAAUGGAGAUGGGCGUUUGGUUCGAUUCCAUCAUCACAGUCCAACUCGUUGAUAAUGUGCUGCAGUCCAUAGCAGUGAUAUAUAUUGAGAUGUUCAAGAAGCACCAAGCUUUGAGCAAGGGAUGGUGAGAAGAGAUAUUUCAAGCUGUUGCAAAAACUAAUUGCUAAAUACUUCAGGCUUUGGAGGCGAACAAAAUGGGUGGACCCUUUCCAUAUCCACUUCAAUUCUGGUAAUAAGUGUAGCUCCAUAAGUGCUAAAUUUGACAGCAGCGGUUCUUCUGCAUCAUGAAGAAGCUCAUCUAUUUGAAAUACUUCUUGCAACUGGCCACAAUUAAUAACUUUCACUUCCUUUAGAUCUUGUAGCGCGGGAGAUAAAGAGACCAUUUCCAUGCAAUUCGUUGCUUCCAACUUCUCUAGUUUUUGUAGAAAUCCCUUUGGAAACUGACCGUUGCACAACAUUUUCAAACCAGUCAUUUCUUCUAUUACUAAUUCCACCAAAUUGAAGAAUGUAUUGGUUGAGACAUGGCCUUGUGUUGUAUCAAUCAAGCAUUCCAGCUCCUUGCCAUCUUUAAGUGCAAGAAAAGUUAGUUCAUUCAGUCCCUUUGGAUCUACAUUUGGAACCAGAUUUUUCUGAUACAUGACUCUUGUCAGGGCAAGACUUUUGACAUUGUAUAAUAACUCCUUGACUGCAUUAAUUUCAAUGUCCUGAUACAUUCACAACAAAAUGAAAGAUAUGAGAAUAAUAUGAAUAAAAUUUAAAGAUCUGGGCCAAAAAAAAUAUCUUUUCCAAUGAAAGCUUAUUAAAGUCAAAAAAUAAACCAAAGCUUAGAGUAUCAAUAGUGUAUAUUACACUUACGAGUAGAUGUGAAUGUAGUAAAAAUUAUUGAUGGAAAAUAUGUUUUUUUAUGAGAUAAAUAAUCAAUUUAUAAUUACCAGAAGUAAAACUGAAACGAACACAAUGUUAAAGGAAUUACUUUCAACUGAUAUUGCCACGUAAGUCCUUGUUGAUUUUGGGAAUGACUCAUUACUUGGGGUCGGGCACCAACAUUGGAAGCUUCCAACCCUUUGAAAGAUGGCAACUUGACAAAACAGUUUCUUGGACAAAAGCUCCUCAAGUUUUCUAAGUCUUCAAGUCUUAAAAACUGUAAUUUAGGGAGCAUAAUAUCGUGCUUAUCCUCUUCUUUUGCCAUGUUGAAGACAUGCAUUAGUUGAGGGCAAUCAAUUAUCUGAACCGAUUCCAAGUACGGAAGUCCUUGAGCCAAAGUGAUNUCAAGUUUCCGAGUUGUAGCUGUUGUAGGCAAGGGAGUGCAAUGGCACGAUCAACUCCAUGCUUUUCUUUUGCCACAUUGAAGACUUGUUGCAAUUGAGGAGAAUCGCUUAUCGAAACGAAUUUCAAUCGUGGAGGAACUUGAGCCAAAGAAAUUUGAAAAACAUAUUCCAGUUUUGGACAAUUACUUAUGGUUAGAGUUUCCAAUUUUGGCAAGAAUGGAGAAUGGAGAUGGGCGUUUGGUUCGAUUCCAUCAUCACAGUCCAACUCGUUGAUAAUGUGCUGCAGUCCAUAGCAGUGAUAUAUAUUGAGAUGUUCAAGAAGCACCAAGCUUUGAGCAAGGGAUGGUGAGAAGAGAUAUUUCAAGCUGUUGCAAAAACUAAUUGCUAAAUACUUCAGGCUUUGGAGGCGAACAAAAUGGGUGGACCCUUUCCAUAUCCACUUCAAUUCUGGUAAUAAGUGUAGCUCCAUAAGUGCUAAAUUUGACAGCAGCGGUUCUUCUGCAUCAUGAAGAAGCUCAUCUAUUUGAAAUACUUCUUGCAACUGGCCACAAUUAAUAACUUUCACUUCCUUUAGAUCUUGUAGCGCGGGAGAUAAAGAGACCAUUUCCAUGCAAUUCGUUGCUUCCAACUUCUCUAGUUUUUGUAGAAAUCCCUUUGGAAACUGACCGUUGCACAACAUUUUCAUGCUAGUCAUAUCUUGUAUGACUAAUUCCAGCAAAUUGAAGAAGGCACUGGUUGAGACAUGGCCUUCUGUUGUAUCAAUCAAGCAUUCCAGCUCCUUGCCAUCUUUAAGUGCAAGAAAAGUUAGUUCAUUCAGUCCCUUUGGAUCUACAUUUGGAACCAGAUUUUUCUGAUACAUGACUCUUGUCAGGGCAAGACUUUUGACAUUGUAUAAUAACUCCUUUACUGCAUUAAUUUCAAUGUCCUGAUACAUUCACAACAAAAUGAAAGAUAUGAGAAUAAUAUGAAUAAAAUUUAAAGAUCUGGGCCAAAAAAAAUAUCUUUUCCAAUGAAAGCUUAUUAAAGUCAAAAAAUAAACCAAAGCUUAGAGUAUCAAUAGUGUAUAUUACACUUACGAGUAGAUGUGAAUGUAGUAAAAAUUAUUGAUGGAAAAUAUGUUUUUUUAUGAGAUAAAUAAUCAAUUUAUAAUUACCAGAAGUAAAACUGAAACGAACACAAUGUUAAAGGAAUUACUUUCAACUGAUAUUGCCACGUAAGUCCUUGUUGAUUUUGGGAAUGACUCAUUACUUGGGGUCGGGCACCAACAUUGGAAGCUUCCAACCCUUUGAAAGAUGGCAACUUGACAAAACAGUUUCUUGGACAAAAGCUCCUCAAGUUUUCUAAGUCUUCAAGUCUUAAAAACUGUAAUUUAGGGAGCAUAAUAUCGUGCUUAUCCUCUUCUUUUGCCAUGUUGAAGACAUGCAUUAGUUGAGGGCAAUCAAUUAUCUGAACUGAUUCCAAGUACGGAAGUCCUUGAGCCAAAGUGAUGGGAAACACAUAUCUCAAGCUUUUGCAACUAGCUAUCUCAAGAGAUUUUAAUUUUGGCCAGCACAGAAGAGAGCGUUCCUUGUUUGAAACUAUUUCAUCACCAUUUUCUGCUUCCAUGAUUAAAUGUUUCAAAGAGUUGCUUUCCAUUACCUUGAGUUCUUCCAGAUGCACCAAAGCUUGAGCAAGGGUAGGUGAAAAGAGAUAUUCCAAUUUAGAACACAAACCAAUUCUCAUAGUUUUAAGGCUCUGGAGGUUAACAAGACGAGUGGGUUCUCUCCAUAUGCACUUCAAUUCUGGUAAAGACUCCAACUCCAAACAAAUUAAAUUUGAGAGUGGCGGUGCCUGAUUUUCCUGGCAUAAAAAAUUUAUUAAUUAAUAAUUAUUUAAAUCUGAAUUAAUUGUACUUGUUCAGAAAAGUAUUUAAAUAUUAACGACAUAUAUUUUUAAAAAAUUUAAAAGAAAGUGUAAAAAGCCAUAAUUUACGAAGAUUAGAACACAUGAUUACUUAUAUAUUUGAUAAUUUAACAAAAAGAAAACAUAAUUAGAUAAAGAACAGAUGCUAGAAUUAUUAAAGGAAAAAUGGAGAGAUAAGAGGUACCUCCAGCUCAGCCAUAUCUUGGGCAGAAGCAAAGACUUGCUCUAAUUUCUUGCAUGCAGAUAUCUUGAGUUGUUCAAGAUGCAACAAACUUUGAGCAAGGUAAGUUGAGAAGAUAGAUUUCAGUUUAUCACAACCAUCAACUUUUACAUCUUUCAGACUUUGUAGGCUCACAUAAUGAGUUGGCUCUUUCCAUAUACUCUCCAAUGCCGGUAAUGACUGCAGCUCCAAGCUUCUUAAAUUUAAGAUUGACAGCAUCUGACCAUUCAUUUGAAACACUGAUUGCAGCUGUCCACAAUCGCAAAUGAUCAAUGUUUCUAAGUUUUGUAAGAAGCUAUUCGGUGAUUCACCAUGGCAUAACUCUUUCAAAGAAGUCAUUUUACCAAUGUCUAAGUUCACCAAAUUAGAGAAUGCAGUGGUUGGACUCUGUUCUCGUGUUGUAUCAAUCAAGCAUUCCAGAUCGUCACAAUAUGCAACCUCAAGAGAAGUCAAUUCAUUUAGUCCCCACUGAUCGUCACAAAAGCUCCUCAAGUUUUCUAAGUCUUCAAGUCUUAAAAACUGUAAUUUAGGUAGCAUAAUAUCGUGCUUAUCCUCUUCUUUUGCCAUGUUGAAGACAUGCAUUAGUUGAGGGCAAUCAAUUAUCUGAACUGAUUCCAAGUACGGAAGUCCAUGAGCCAAAGUGAUGGGAAACACAUAUCUCAAACUUUUGCAACGAACUAUCUCAAGAGAUUUUAAUUUUGGCCAGCACAGAAGAGAGCGAUCCUUGUUUGAAACUAUUUCAUCACCAUUUUCUGCUUUGAUGAUUAAAUGCUCCAAACAGUUGCUUUCCUUUAUCUUGAGUUCUUCCAGAUGCACCAAAGCUUGAGCAAGGGUAGGUGAAAAGAGAUACUCCAGUUUAGAACACGAGCAAAUUCUCAUAGUUUUAAGAUUUUGGAGGUUAACAAGAUGAGUGGGUUCUCUCCAUAUGCACCUCAAUUCUGGUAAGGACUCCAGCUCCAAACAAAAUAAAUUUGAGAGUGGUGGUGCCUGAUUUUCCUCAUAUAAAAAAAUAUUAUAAAUUAAUAAUUAUUUAAAUAUGAAUUCAUUGUACUUGUUCAAAGAAGUACUUAAAUAUUAGAGACAUACAUUUUUAAAAAAAUUAAAAGGAAGUGUAAAAAGCCAUAAUUUACAAAGAUUACAACUGAUGAUUACUUAUUUAUUUGAUAAUUUAACAAAAAAAAAACAUAAUUAGAUAAAGAACAAAUAAAAGAAUUAUUAAAGGAAAGAUGGAGAGAUAAGAGGUACCGCGAACUCGGCCAUAUCUUGGGCAAAAGCAAAUACUUGCUCUAAUUUCUUGCAUGCAGAUAUCUUGAGUUGUUCUAAAUGCAACAAACUUUGAGUAAGGCAAGGUGAGAAGAUAGAUUUCAGCUUAUCACAACCAUCAACUUUUACAUCCUUCAGACUUUGUAGGCUUAUAAGAUGAGUUGGCUCUUUCCAUAUAUUCUCCAAUGCUGGUAAUGAGUUUAGCUCCAUAAGUGUUAAAUUUGACAACAGCAAUCCUUGAUUUUCUUUCGUAUCAUGAAGAAACUCAUCUAUUUGAAAUACUUCUUGCAACUGGCCACAAUUAAUAACUUUCACUUCUUUUAGAUUUUGCAGCGCAGGAGAUAAAGAGACCAUUUCCAUGCAAUUCCUUGUUGUCAACUUCUCUAGUUUUUGUAGAAAGCCCUUUGGAAACUGACCGUUGCACAACAUUUUCAAACCAGUCAUUUCUUCUAUUACUAAUUCCACCAAAUUGAAGAAUGCAUUAGUUGAGACAUGGCCUAGGGUUGUAUCAAUCAAGCAUUCGAGCUCCUUGCCACCUUUAAGUGCAAGAAAAUUUAAGUCAAUAAGUCCCUUUGGAUCUACAUUUGGAACGAGACUUUUUUGAUACAUGACUCUAUUCAAGGUAAGAUUUUUGACAUUGUGUAAUAACUCCUUCAAUGCUUGCAAUUGAACGUCCUGAUAAAUUCACAACAAAAUGAAAGAUAUUAGAAAAAUAGAAAGGUAGAUAAUACUCCUUAAAUCAGAAUUGAAUUUUUUUCUAUGCAUCAAAUUUAAAAAUUGAGGCAAAAGAAAACUGUUUUAUCUUUUCAUUGAAAGCUCAUUAAAGUUGAAAAACAUACCAAAGCUUGGAAUAUUCUUAUCUGUAGAUAUUGAUUUACUAAAAGAAAGAUGUUUUUCUAUGAUCAGAUAAAUAAUCAAUUAAUAAUUAUCAAAAGUAAAAUUGAAACAAACGAAAAUAUAACAGAACUACCUUCAAUAGAGACCACGAGCAAAGACUUUCGUGAAUAUGGAAAUGAGCCAUUGAUUCGGGUGGGAGACCAAUAUUGCAAGCUUGGAAUUCCUUCAAAGAUGGCAACAUGACAAAAUAGUUUCUUGGACAAAAGCUCCUCAAGUUUUGUAAGUAUUCAAGUCUUAAAAACUGUAACCGAGGGAGCAGAAUAUCGUGCCCAUCCUCUUCUUUUGCCAUGUUGAAGACAUGCAUUAGUUGAGGGCAAUCAAUUAUCUGAACUGAUUCCAAGUGACGGAAGUCCAUGAGCCAAAGUGAUGGGAAACACAUAUCUCAAACUUUUGCAACUAGCUAUCUCAAAAGAUUUUAAUUUUGGCCAGCACAGGAGAGAGCGAUCCUUGUUUGAAACUAUUUCAUCACCAUUUUCUGCUUCCAUGAUUAAAUGUUUCAAGGAGUUGCUUUCCUUUAUCUCGAGUUCUUCCAGAUGCACCAAAGCUUGAGCAAGGGUAGGUGAAAAGAGAUAUUCCAAUUUAGAACAUGAACCAAUUCUCAUAGUUUUAAGGCUCUUGAGCUUAACAAGAUGGGUGGGUUCUCUCCAAAUGCAGCUCAAUUCUGGUAAAGACUCCAACUCCAAACAAAUUAAAUUUGAGAGUGGUGGUGCCUGAUUUUCCUGGCAUAAAAAAUUUAUUAAUUAAUAAUUAUUUAAAUCUAAAUUAAUUGUACUUGUUCAAAAAAGUACUUGAAUAUUAACGACAUACAUUUUUAAAAAAUUUAAAAGGAAGUGUAAAAAGCCAUAAUUUAUGAAGAUUAGAACACAUGAUUACUUAUAUAUUUGAUAAUUUAACAAAAAAAAAACGUAAUUAGAUAAAGAACAGAUGCUAGAAUUAUUAAAGGAAAAAUGGAGAGAUAAGAGGUACCUCCAGCUCAGCCAUAUCUUGGGCAAAAGCAAAGACUUGCUCUAAUUUCUUGCAUGCAGAUAUCUUGAGUUGUUCAAGAUGCAACAAGCUUUGAGCAAGGUAAGGUGAGAAGAUAGAUUUUAGUUUAUCACAACCAUCAACUUUUACAUCCUUCAGACUUUGUAGGUUCACACGUUGAGUUGGCUCUUUCCAUAUACUCUCCAAUGCCGGUAAUGACUGCAGCUCCAAGCUUCUUAAAUUUGAGAUUGACAGCAUCUGACCAUUCAUUUGAAACACUGAUUGCAGCUGUCCACAAUCGCAAAUGAUCAAUGUUUCUAAGUUUUGUAAGAAGCUAUUCGGUGAUUGACCAUUGCAUAACUCUUUCAAAGAAGUCAUUUUACCAAUGUCUAAGUUCACCAAAUUAGAGAAUGCAGUGGCUGGACUCUGUUCUCGUGUUGUAUCAAUCAAGCAUUCCAAAUCAUCGCAAGAUGUAAGCUGAAGAGAAGUUAAUUCAUUUAGUCCCCACUGAUCUACAUUUGGGACAACAGUUUUGUGUUCCAUGACUUUGAACAAAGUCAGCUUUUGCACAUUGGGAAACAGCUCCUUAAAUGCAUUUAAUGAUGAGCAAUCACUAAUUGUCAAUAUUCUCGAGAUACGCUUCUCCGGAAAUUCAAUAUAUGCAUUUACUGCUAUACUGUAGCUUUGUAGUUUAGGGAACACAAAGUUUUCUUGAAAACAUUGAUCAGUAGAAACAAUCAAUGUUAAUGUAGUCAAACGAGACAAUGAAUUCAACUCCAGUAAGUUAGCAUUGUUGUCUCUCGGCACGUGUAGCUCUUGGAGUGACGUUAACCUGUUACACACAAAUACGAAAUAUCAUUAAGGCUGUAAUAACACUUUCAGGCAAAUGAUAAAAAUGGCUAAGUAAUGAAAUGAAUAAGAUAACAUAAACUUUUUUUUUUUCAUGCUUAGAGAAAAUGUGUGCAUUCCAACCAAAAAAGGCAAGCUUCCAUGAACAAGAACAGAUCACCAAAAGUAUAGAAAGCAGUCCAAUCAUGAUAGUGCAGACCAAAUGGAGUAGCAUGAAUCCAGGAUAGUAAUCAAGCAUGACAAAUCAUCGAAGACAGAGGCCAUAGAAACAAGAGACCAACGUAUCAAACAGUCUCAUAAAAAUCCAACAAGGGAAAGGUGAAUAUAUUCGCACAAUCAGAUUGCCAGCGGGAAACAACAAAAUUAAAUACUUAACUAAAAACAACAAGAUAAACAGUUUUAAUGACAUUUAAGUAUUACCUUGAUAGCAAGUUAGGGGGGACAUUGAUGGGUCCAUCUCCAAAGCAAGAAAAAUAUAGUGACUUUAGUCUAUGCAAUUCCAAUAAUUCUUCAGGUAGCUCUUCAAAGUCAACACUACUCAAUUCUAAAAACUCAAGGUUUUUCAGAUUUCUCAAUGAUGAGAUAUCCUCUUGCAGGCCACACCUUACAAAGCUCAGAAUUCGAAGAUUUUUUAGGAAUUGAAAUGCUUCCAUGGAGAAUACAUGACGUUCAAGAAAUAAAAUUUGGAGGGCUUUCAUUCCUUCAAAAAAUGUACUCGGGACUAUUUGGUAGUCCCUUCCUGAUAAAAUCAAGGUCUUGAGUUUUGAAAAUUCUAAUCUCUCAGGAAAAUUAUCUAUCUUACUAUUCCAUAAGGAGAUUGCUGUAUAACAAUCAAAAUUUUCACUGUUAGGCCAUUCCGUCAACUCAUUUUUUACCAUGAACAUUUUUUCCCCUGUGGAUGUUAUCCAAUGAGCAAAAUCACGAACCACAUCAUGCAUUUUUACAGAUUCUUCAUCAUCAGUUUGCAAUAACAAACCAGACUUUUGGAGUUUGGAUAGUGCUAGACGAAUUUCCCUCCUUAAGUCUUCAAUUAAGUUAAUAUUACCAAACAAUCCCAGACCAAUGCCGAAUACAGUCAACAACGCAACACUAAUCUCUUCAUCUUCUAGAAAAAGAGAACACAACAAGAAACAUGACUGGAUAUUAUCUUCCUUCAAAUAAUCAUAAUUACCUUCCUUCAAAUAAUCAUAACUAAGCUUAAGGCAUUUAUAAAUACCUCCGCAAACAUGUUGAUUAUCCAAAUGUCUUGACUCCUUAAGUCGUAGAUUUGCUGCUAUCCACCCAUCAAGACUUUCACCUUUUAGAGCUUUCGCCAUAGUUACAAUUGCAAGAGGCAAACCCUUGCCUUCAAGAGCAACCUCCUUGGCUACCUUCAAGGUGGGAGAGUUAUCUUUUAGACCAGCGCUAUCUUUGAAUAAAGCCCAUGCUUCAUCGUCAGAUAAGAUUUUGAGGAGAACUUCCCUUUGACAAUGCAUUCGAGUGCAAACUUCUUGAAGACGCGUGGUUAAAAAAAUUUUGCAACCCUUGUGAUCAUCACCGAAUGGAAUUCCAAUAAUCUUCAAGUCAAGUUCUUCCCAAACAUCAUCGAGGAUUAUAAGGAUGCUCUUCUCGUCUUUGAUUCUCAACCACAAUUGUUCUGCUCUUCCUUCUGGUGUCUUCUUUUGAAAAUCUAAAUCUAGGAAGUCUGCAAUUUUAUCUUGAAUAUUGUUGAUGUUUGGAUUUUGGGACACGGUUACAACCUCAACUUUAUCGAAGAGUUGUUUGGCUUGGUUUCCCACUUCUUUUGCCAAAGUGGUUUUACCCACACCUCCCAUCCCAUAUAGUCCAAUCAUGUUCACAUCACCAUUAUUCAGAGCCUCCAUGAUCUCUUUGAAAGCAGAAUUUGAAGAUUCAGAAGACAUGAAAUCCUUAGAUGGAAUGAACUCUAAUCCUGGAAGAGUAGCUCGGUAACCUACUCGUUCAAAAUUAGAAUUCUCUAAAAGUUGAGAGAUACAAAGUGUCUUCUUAGCUACUUUGAUGCUUAAGCAGUAUCGCCAGCCCCAACUAGGACACCAAUUGAAACACUUGUUACGUUCAAUUUCAUCUUCCAAACUCUGAGCUUCUCCCAAUUUUUUCUCUGCCCUUGUUAGCCACUCCUCAACAUCCUUCUCAAUUACCUGAGUUUGCUUUUUUGCCUCAGCGACAUCAUUUUCCACUCGAAUUUUUCUCAAUUCAAGUUGGUUUCGUCGAUUCUUGAAAUCUUCAACAAUUUUGCCAAAACGGAAAAAAUAACUGAGAUAAGGUGAUGCGUAUUCUGUUGCCAGGUUCCCCAUGGUAUUGCUUGCAACAGCGAUGCCAAGUUCAGCCAUUCUUUGAUGAUCUGAUAGUGAAGAGCAAUUUCUAUGAGUAAAAAUUUUACAUAGAGACAAAAACAAUUAGGAAAUGUUUGGAAUGUAUCUUACCCUGGCAACAAUACUUUUUUGAAAUAUGUGAAUCACAAUAGAACAAUUGUCGAUCAACCAACUUGAAAAUUGAGAAUGCUGCACAAGCAGAAAUUAUUCACUGGUCACCAACUCCGGAGAUCAGGAAAGAAAAAUUCAGGAGCAGUCGAAAGCAAAAAAUAGAGUAAGGGUAAUUAAAGAAAUAGAGCAAAGAAAUAGUCUAGAGUUGCAUGGUUUUCUUCUUUUAAGAUAGGAAGCAGAGAAAUCAAAAUACUAAAGCUAGCAGCUAUGGGCUUUUUUUUUUUUUUUUGACCUUUGUGGAGCCAAGGAAAGGAAAAGUAGGAAUCAGAGAACAGAUUUAAUCAAAAUACCGAGGAAAUAUAUAAGAAUUUUCAGGAGCCAAGAUCAAGGGACUGACAAAGUCGGUGAAGUUUCUUUGAGUUCAAAGAUAACUGAAGGCCAAGGAAUUAAUGCAUACAAAUAAUUCUGCUUUUCAUAGCAAAAACAGUCCUUAAAUAUACAAAGUAGGAACUCUGAGGCAGGAGGAUUUUUUUUUUCUUUUACAUGUUAGAGUAAAAGCAUAAUAUUAUCAUUCUAUAAAAUAAUCUCUUAACAUUCAAAAUAUCUAUAUAUUUAGUUUUUUCUCAAUAACUACAGCUUUUAUUUGACAAUGUUGUAAUUUGGAAAUAGAAAAUAUCUAGUCAAAUGUAAGACCAAAUAAAUAAAUCAUAGAAGAGAAAGAUGAACAUUUACAUACCAAGGAAAGCUAUAGAUGAAGUUUCAGGAGCAAGACAGAGCAGCUUCUAUUUUGAUCCACGCAAUCUCACAAAGUCGGUGAAGUUCGUUUUUUAUCUUUUUAAGUUCAGAAAAAACUGGAGUAGAAAUAAACUUUGCACUGCAAUGAUCAGAAGGCCAGCGAAUUAAAAAAAUAUUAGACUUUCACUUAUCUUCUGUUUAAUGCAUAUAGAUAAUUCUAUUUCUGACAGAGCAAAACAGAAAAAGCAAAGUAAACAGAGCAACUCAGAUGUUAAGAAUAUAGAAAGUAGAAACUCUUAAGCCAAGAGGAAUUUUUUUUCUUUCCCUAAAACAAAGAGAUGAGCUUAUGUAAGCAAAUUAAUAUACUGUAAAAGGUGCUGAAAUCCUUUCUUGAAACUUACCUCUCUAUUCUCACCACUUGAAUGUGAAAGGGUAAGAGACACACAAAGUUUCUAGCUCUCUGCUUCACACAAAUGCCAUGGGUGUAGUUUAACUGUAGAAAAACAAAACAGUUAAUUUGGACAUAGAAGAUAAUUAAGUGCCGAUUUUGCAUGUAAAGUUUGCAGAUGUAUACUCAAUUGCAAAAACCAAGACAAAAAUAAGCCAUGGAAGAAAAUGAUGCAUAUAUAUACCAAGGAAAGAUGAAGUUUCACGAGCCAAGGCCAAGCUUUUCAUAAGUGAUCGAAGAAAACUCAAGUAGAAAUCAAGUUUGUACUGCAAUAACCAGAAGCCCACUAGCAAAGGGAAUUAAGAAACAACAAAUAUCUGUCAAUCUAAGAUGAAAAGAAUAACUUAAUUUGACAAUAGAAAAUACGUGUCAAUGCAUCUAAACUUUCAAAUAUCUAAACUCAAAUGUAAAGCCAAGACAAAUAAACCACAGAAGAAGAGGAUGAACAUUUACAUACCAAAGGAAAUAUACAUGAACUUUGAGGAGUCCGGACAGAGCUUCUAUUUUGAUCCAGCCAAAAUGUAUUACAGACACUGACAAAGUCGGUGAAGUUUUUUUUUUUUUUGAGUUCGAAGAAAACUGAAGAAGAUAUAAUAAACUUUGCACUGCAACGAUCAGAAGGCCAGGAAAUUAAAAAAACAAAAAGACUUUCACUUAUCUUCUUUAGAAUGCAUGCAGAUUAUAAUUCUCCUUCUGAAUACAAAAACAGUAGUUGAACAUAGAAAGUAGAAACUCUCAAGGCAAAGACUUGUUUUCUUUGGAAUCUCUUUUUCUUUUUAUUGUUACUAUUUUUUUCUUGCUCAAAUGCUUAGUGGAAGACAAGGUCCCCAAUGUCUUUUGCCUAAUCAUUGACUAGUUCUCUCUCAGACAGAUAAGAAAAGAACAAAGAAAAAAAAAAGAAAAGGAUGGAGUCAUGGAGAUGCUCUGCUAAGGACCCUGCUGUUUGGCUUUCCAGGAAGUGUUAUGGAAAGAGGAUGGAAAUCUAUCUUCUUGGUUUAGUUUCUUCUAUGCUUUGCUUUCAUGAUCUUAUCUUUUACUAUUUUGUAAGCUUUUUGAAUAUUAAAAGUUAUGAAUAAAAUAAUUUUUACAAAUAAUUCUAAAUUUGUUAUAAGUAAAAAGUCAAGUAUUGUCCAACCAAGUAAUUACUUGAGCAAUAUGUAAACCUUUAUCAUGAGUAAGAAUAAUUUUAUACAUGUAUUUAUGUCAUGUCAAGGUUCCGACGCAGUAAACAGUAGCUUGAUUAUCCAGCUGAUACAUUCUUUUAACAUCUCUACAUAUAUUUAUGGUCUUUGCCUCAAGACAUAAAGAAAUUAGUGGAGAGUAAUUGACAUAAGUGGCCAUUUUUUAUUGAAUUCAAGGAAAAUGACUUCACAACUUCUAUCAUGACUUUGCAUUGAGUUAUGCUAAUGAAGCACAGUUUUCUCUAUACCAAAUUUACCAUGAUUUCGAAAGCAAGUUCACACCUUCAAUUCAGUUUUUCCUUUUGGUCUUACGGAUUGGAGAAGAAAACUGAUCUAUCAAGAGUUGUCUCUUUUUCUUUAUCAGUAUUUUCUUGAUGAUAUGAUUUUUCGUUGUCAUUUCCUGUCUUCUUGUUGCGUACCCUUCUAUUUUGCUUCAAACAAUUUUUUUUUUUCAUUUUCUCAUUAAUUAAGAAGAUAAAGAUUACCAAUGGGACAUAGACAUCAUUUCUAUCAAACCUUUUGAAUUAUUGAUCUAAUCCCUUUAUUAUUGCGUUUUAGAUUUUUGUCAUUUUGCAAUCAUUUUUCCCUUGGAGGUCCAUUUAUUUCUGACUUUCUUGCUUGGUAGGUUUAAUGGCUUUCAUGGAAAAAUACUUGCCCUAUUUUUUUUUUUUUGGGAUCAAAUUCUGUGUUUAAGGGAUUGAAGCUUUACACUUCGUUUAACACAAGGAAAAAUGGCGAAAUACAUCAAACGAUUCACACAGUGCAAGGAUCAUGUUUUGCAUGGAGAGAAGUAGAGGGUCAAGGUACAUCUCUUUAUAUUUAUGGUCUUUGCCUCAAGACAUAAAGAAAUUUGUGGAGAGUAAGACAACUGGCGAGUUUUUAUUGAAUUCAAGGAAAGUGACUUCACAACUUCUAUCAUGACUUUGGAUUGACUUAUGCUAAUGAAGCAUAGUUUUCUCUAAACCAAAUCUAUCAUGAUUUUAAAAGCAAGUUCACACCUUCAAUUCAAUUUUUCUUUUUGGUCUUACGUCUCUUUUUCUUAAUCAGUAUUUUCUUGGUUAUAUGCAUUUUCGCUGCCAUUUCCUGUCUUCUUUUUGCUUAUCCUUCUAUUUUGCUUCAAACAAUAAUUUUUUUUCAUUUCUCAUUAAUUAAGAAGAUAAAGAUUACCAAUGGGACAUAGACAACAUUACUAUCAAAGCUUUUCAAUUAUUGAUCUGAUCCCUUUAUUAUUGUCUUUUAGAUUUUUGUCAUUUUGCAAUCAUUUUUCCCUUGGAGGUCCAUCUAUUUCUGACUUUCUUCCUAGGUCGGUUCAAUGGCUUUCAUGGAAAAAUACUUGCACUUUUUAUUUUAUUUUUUGGACUAAAUUCUGUGUUUAAGGGAUUGAAGUUUUACACUUUGUUGAACACAAGAAAAAAUGGCGAAACACAUUAAAUGAUUCAUAUAGUGCAAGGAUCAUGUUUUGCUUGGAGAGAAGUAGAGGGUCAAGGUACAUCUCUAUUUUUUGAACCAUCAUUUACAGAUACUUAGGAACGUUUUCCUCCAAGGCUGGUAAUCUAAUACAAGAAAGAAGAUCAUCUAAGCCUAAUUUGUUCUAAUCAAAACUAUUUUGAAUUAAUUUCCACUAAAAAAAUUAAGAGCUUCAAGGAAUAACCCGACCUAUCAAACUUGAUUUAAAUUCAAAAAUGGUAUAGAAUUGAUCAGUGUAUUAAUAUGUUAUAAAUUGUUAUGAAAAUUACUCAAAAACAAUAAAGAUAAAAUUCAGCAAAAUCAAGCAAACAUAAAAAUAUAAAAAUUUACAUGAUUCGACUUGUUGUCUACGUCUAUGGAGUAAAACUGUAAAACCAAGACAAAUAAACCAUAGAAGAAGAGGAUGCAAAUCAAAAGAAAUAUACAUGAACUUUUGAGGAGCUUCUAUUUUGAUCCAGCCAAAAUAUAUUACAGACAUGCACUGACAAAGUCGGUGAAGUUUUUUUUUUUUUUUUGAGUUCGAAGAAAACUGAAGUAGAUAUAAUAAACUUUGCACUGCAACGAUCAGAAGGCCAGGAAAUUAAAAAAACAAAAAGACUUUCACUUAUCUUCUUUAGAAUGCAUGCAGAUUAUAAUUCUGCUUCUGAUAACAAAAACAGUAGUAAUAUAUAGAAAUUAGAAACUCUUAAGGCAAAGACCUGUUUUCUUUGGAAUCUCUUCUUCUUUUUAUUGUUAGUAUCUUUUUCUUGCUCAAAUGGUUAGUGAAAGACAAGGGCCCCAAUGUCUUUUGCCUAAUCAUUGACUAGUUCUCUCUCAGACAUAUUAGAAAAGAAAGAAAGAAAAGGAUGGAAUCAUGGAGAUGCUCUGCUGGUUGGCUUUCCAUGAAGUGGCAUGGAAAGAGCAUGGGACUUGCGAGGAUGUUAAUGUAUAGAAAAUUUUUGAAAUUCUGCUUCAAAUGUCUUUGAAUGAAAAACAUAAACUUAGUGUUAUUUAUGAUUCUUUUGUAAUUAAGUAAUACUUGGUAAAUUCUCCUCUAAUAAUGAGUAAUGACCUACUUUUCAAAGCUUUUUUUGAACUUGUUGCCUGCCUAAAUCUUUUAAGUUGGACAUAGAAAAUAAUUAAUUUAGUGCCAAUCUUGGGUGUACGACAAUCACAGAGCCAUAGAAGAAAACCAAGAAAUGAUGUAUACUCAAAUGCAAAAACCAAGAGCCAUAGAAGAAAAUGAUGCACAUAGAUGGUUGAGUUUUAAGUUGACUAGAAUUGUAGAUCUUAUUUGAUUAGGAUUCUUGUUUGUGUACAACAUUGAGUAGUUGUAUGGUUUUAAACUUCUUAUUCCACAUUGAGUCAUAAUCACAUUCUACUUUGGACUUUUAUACUAUAAAAGUGGAUAUUUAGGUUUUAGAAUUGCAAGUAGUGCUUUGAGAGCUUUAGAGAGGGAACACCUUGUAACUCUGUUUUUUACUCUAGGUGGAGCUAGAGUGGUUUGGGUGAGUGUUCUUAGGAGGUUAUUGAGAAAAAGUGUGCAAGGGAUCUCGGGUUGGUUUGGGGAACCAUAAAGGUCAAUUUAUUGUACUUUAAUUUCUCAAUAAUAGAAAGAACAGUUUCAAUCCAUGGACGUAGGUAAGAGACCAAAUCACGUAAAUUCUUGUGUUUUUCUGUUUGCUUAAUUUCUCUAGGUUUUAUCUUUGUUGUUUCUUAGGCAAUUUCCACAACAAACUAGUAUCAGAGCUUCGAGUUCAAUAAAUUCAAGAUUUAAUAAAGAUGUCGAAAGUUACUAGUUCUACAAAUUUUUCAAUUGAGAAGUUUAAUGGGAAGACUAGUUUCACGCAGUGGCAGAGAAGGAUGAAAGACCUCCUUGUGCAGCAAGGUUUAAUGCGCCCCUUGCUAGGAAAAGAGGAAAGGCAACCAAAUGACAUGAAGGAUGUUGAAUGGGCAGAGUUGGAGCAAAGGUGUGUAAGCACUAUUCGACUUUGCAUUGGAGAUAACGUGUUUAACCAUGUUAUUGAUGAGGAUUCUGCUCCAAGGUUAUGGGCAAAGUUAAAGAAGAUUUACUUGGCGAAAAGUCUUUCCAACAAGUUGCAGCUUAGGUGAAAGUUGUAUCGCUUAAAGAUGGAGGAGAAUAGAGACCUCAUGAAGCAUAUGAACGAAUUCAAUGGGAUCAUUGAUCAGUUGAAGAAGGUUGAUGUGAAGGUGGAGGAAAAGGAAAAGGCACUGUUGUUCCUAGCUUCGCUUCCAGACUCCUUUGAGGUACUUGUGGAAUCUCUAAUAUGUGGGAUAGAUACAAUAACGUUAGAAUAAGCACAAGCAACGUUAAUGUCUCGUGAAGCCCGAAAGAAAAGUAAAGAAGGGGAUAGAGAUCCAAGUGGCUUGGCAUUGGUAACUGAGGUUUAUAGGAGGAAGUCAACCGGUAAGGGAUUUAAGGGUGGCAAGUCUAGAUCCAACAAUGUUCAGUGCUUUCAAUGCAAAGGGUAUGGACAUAUUAAAAUGGAUUAUCCUACAAAAAAGGAUGAAAGUAAUGAGAACAAAGGUGAGUGUGCUUUCAUUGCUGAAGGUGAUGAUUGUGAUGUCCUUACAAUUUCGAAAAAUAUGGAUGCAAAUUCUGAUUGGUAUUUAGAUUCUGCUUCUACUACUCACAUAUGUUAUCAAAAAGAUUGUUUUGAUUUACUUCAAGAAGGGGUGGCUGGGAAUUUGAGUUUGGGUAAUAAGUCAAUAGUGAAGGUCAUGGGUCUUGGAGUGGUGAAAAUCAAAAUGUUUGAUAGGGUUGUGUGCUCUUUGGGUGGUGUGGCCUAUGUCCCAGAGAUGCGUAAGAAUCUAAUAUCAUUGAGCCUGUUAAACUCUAAAGGGUAUGGAUAUUCUGCUUGUGAUGGAGUGGUAAAAGUCACAUAAAGCAACAUGGUCCUAAUGAGGGGGAAUUUGCAUAAUGGCUUAUAUUGUCUAAAAUGUGAGGCCUUGAAGGGAUGAGAAUAGUGCACAGGAGAUGGUAGCUACCAAAGUGAGAUUUCAUUUGCUGAGGAGUUGAUGAAAGGUUCCCAUGGUGUAGACGAUGGUGAAAGGAUGAAAAAUCUUGCCAAUAGUGAAUUAGGAGGGUCGUCGAGGUCCCUUUCCGAAGUCAAUUAGUGCCAUUGACUUGACUGCUACACAUGUGCAUUGGCUGUUUUGUGGAAUCGAGUGUUGGACCAUGUUUGAUUCGAUAUGUGUAGUCGUGGUAAUUAUAAAGGCCAAUGAUUUGGAAAGUCUUAUGCUUGGAGAGUUGUUCAAGGUGUUGGAAAGUAGGUGGAGUUAGGAAAUUGCAAAUAGGUGCAACUGGUGGAAGAAGUUUAAGGAGUUUGAAUUCAAGUCAAAGGUGGAGAUUUGUUGAGUUUUAGAUUGACUAGAAUUCUAGAUCUUAUUUGAUUAGGAUUCUUGUUUGUAUACAACAUCGAGUAGUUGUUUGGUUUUAAACUUCUUAUUCAACAUUGAGUACUAAUCACAUUCUACUUUGGACUUUUAUACUAUAAAAGUGGAUAUUUAGGUUUUAGAAUUGCAAGUAGUGCUUUGAGAGUUCUAGAGAGAGAACACUUUGUAACUUUGUCUUUUACUCUAGGUGGAGUUAGAGUGGUUUGAGUGAGUGUUCUUGGGAGGUUAUUGAGAAAGAGUGUGCAAGGGAUCUCGGGUUGGUUUGGGGAACCAUAAAGGUCAAUUUAUUGUACUUUAAUUUCUCAAUAAUAGAAAGAACAGUUUCACUCCGUGGACGUAGGUAAGAAGUCGAACCACGUAAAUUUUUUUAUUUUUCUGUUUGCUUAAUUUCUUUAGGUUUUAUCUUUAUUGUUUCUUGGGUAAUUUUCAUAACAUAUAUUUUGGCUGAAUUACGAUAAUCAAAGAAACAAGUGGAAAUCAAGUUUGCACUACAAUAAUCAGAAACCCGCUAGCAGAGGGAAUUAAGAAACAUCGAUUUAUUCUUCUUCGUCCAGCGGAAACACUUCAAUACAAGAGAGAAAAUUUUGAAUAAAUGAUGUGAUCGUUCUAUCAUUGUCCUUUCUAUUUUUGUCAUUUUGCAAUCAUUUUUCCCUUGACGUCCAUUUAUUUCUCACCGACUUGUUUCCUCUGUUUAAUGGCUUUCAUGGAAAAAUACUUUACCAUAUAUGGUACAAGGGAAGAGAGAUUCCCGGAGCUUUCAUAUAGAUUUUUGUUCCCUUUAUUUACUCCAACUCCCCCUUUACUUACUCCUUAUUGAUGAAAAGGCGAGACAGACUCACAGCUUUUGUCACGACCCGGAACUCCCAUCGGGCCCGUGACAACCGCCGCGACGUUUAGAUAGGCACUCAUUAUCCCGAAUGCCGAUUGGAACCCCGCAAGGCUUAGCAUCAGCUUCAGCAUCUCCCCGGUGAGCGACAGUUAUUAAAUCUUGCAUUUAAAAAAAAUCAUAAGUCGUUUCCAAAUCAAAACAAUAAAAUAUUAUUUUUUGGCUCAUAGGGAUAUUUUUGUCAUUUUUCUUCGAUAAUACCGAAACUCGCAAAAAACAUGGUGUAAAAGCUUAAUAUGUUCAUACAUAUUUUAAAUCAAAUAACUAAAGUAUAAAAUUACUUUUACAAUGACACGUGGACCCCUAACUAACCAAUAAGAUGCGAGUCUGUGAACCUAUAAUUUUGACAAUGCAAGGCUAACUGAAGUCCUUGAUGUAAUCGGCUAUCUACCGGCUAUCCCGAACCUGAAAUGUGGGGAAUUGAGGGUGGUGAGAUUAUAAAAUCCUAGUGAGUAAACAUACACUAUCUAAACUAUCGAAAGGCAAGUAAAUGGAGACAAUUAAAAAAUAAUUAACUUCAGCAAAUUUUUCACAUCACGAAUAUUCAUUUCAACCAAAUAAUCAAUAUGGCUCGUGAAUUACUCAAAACUUAGCUCAUGCCAAAUCUUGUACUCGAUGACACCUAGACCAGGGGUAUCUAACCGAGCCCUCCAAGGUUGUUAAAAAUUCAUAUUUCGCAUAAAUCAUAUUUUUAUUUUGAAACAUAGCCAUUCCUUGGCGUUGGCUGAGUCUCACUCUCACGCGGUGGUCCACGUUAAGUGCACUCAAAAAGCCCACCUCAGGAGAUACUCUACGCGCCUCUACGACUGAUGUGAGAAUAUAAAGGAGUUUACCGUGCCCCUCUAAUAGGCUGGCCCACGGAUCCCCCCACCACUGCAGUAGCUAAUCUUUUUAUCUACCACCUGAUUUAUAAAAUCUUUUUCUGCAUGACAUGGCAAUUUGUCGCAACCUAGCCUCUCAAGGCUAAAUACACAGUACAAAUAAUUCUAACACCAAAAUCAGUUUAGCCAUUCAUGCUCAUUUAUUGUCAUAAGCCAUUCAAUUUAAAACCAUAAAUUUACAACACAAGUAGGCAGUCUCCAAUUACUCUAUUUUCAAAACCAGUAUUCGAUUUUUUAGAAAAUUUAUAAAAUCAUUUUAUAAAAUCACAAUUUCUCUUAAAACAUAGCAAUUUACUAUUUAAACCCAUUUUCCAUAAAAUCGCACAAUUGUAUAAAACUACUCUAGAUAAUUAAGACGAUAAUAAGUUUACUCACAUUUUUCGAAAAUUAAAUUCGGGUACUCCAACUAUUACUCCUCGAGUGCGAUUUCUUUGCCCUUGCUAGAGGAUUCGCCACCUUGACAAAUUGUACAAUUAAGAGGUUUACUACUUUGAUACUAAACCAAAAUAAACUAAUUUAUACUACUAAUGCAUGAUAUGAAGUGCAAAAUGUCUAAAUUUUACCUAAACAAGAUGUUAGCCUAUUUCGGUCUUUUACCCGAUAAAUCGAUAUACGCAUCCGUUUAAACUCCAAAUUAAUUUUUUUUAAUUUCUAUACCUCAAUUCCACCCAAAUUGACUUAAUGUUCCUCAGUGUGGUGCAAAUUAACAGUCUUGAUAGCAAAUUACGAAAAUACCCCUAGUGGGUAAAAAUUCAUAUUUUUACUCCGAAAAUUCCCAUUAUUUUUCUAGGCUCAUAAUUCAUCAUUAUUUAUUAUAAUUCCUCAAAUAAACAUCAAGAUCAGCAGCCAAUAUUCUCCUAUAAAAUUCAGCAUAAUGGGUUUCAAUGGGAGAAAAUUAUUUCUCUAGCUUAUUUUUGCUAUAUUUCAAUUUAACCUAACUAAAAUCACUUAAUUCAAUUAAAAUCAACCAAAACUCAAGUUCAAAACUCAUACAUGGAGGUUUGGCCAGCAUGGGUGUCCAUACCCACUUUCUAAUUUUGCAUGGAAAUGAGAAAAAAAUGCAUGGGUAGUGAAAAUCACAAGGAAAAUCAAUGAAAUUUACCUUUUUAAUGCUUGAUUUCUUGAUUUCUCUUGAUUUUCCCCAAAUUUUUUGGUAGGGUUCUUAUUUGUUUUUUUCCCCCUUUUCUCCCCUGGUUUGGACAGCUGAAGAAGAUGAGAAUUCUGGAAUUUUUACCUUUUUAAAGGCUAAAAUAAUAUAAUAUUAUUUUAUUCAUUUUUUUAAUGUUUUAUUAAUUCCUUAAAUUCCAGCCAUCCAUUUAUUUCCAAAUUUCACCAUACACUUGUCCCACCAUAUCCAUAGCUUAGAUAAAAUUCUCAGACUUAUCCAAUCAGAUUCGAAAAAUGAGAAAGAAAGAAAAAGUGUGGAGUAAUUUUUGAAAUUUACACUUUUGCCCUCGUAAAAGUCAAAAAUUACAUUUUUACCCCAAAAACUGAAAAAUUGCCCAUAGACAUAUUUUUCAUCCCUUAUACUCAUACCAUUCUCCAAUUUGUCAAAUGUGAUCUAAAUUCUCUCAAAAUCUCAAAUUUUGUCCGCGAGUGAAAAAAUUACGAUUUUGCCCAUACACUCCAGAAAUAACCGAAAUUAAACUUUUUCACUGCCAAACCCUCAGAUUAUACUCCAAUACUCAAAUCAUACUCCAAUAAGUUAAAUGUGGCCAAAAAAAUCUUUUCUCAAAAUUCUCAUUUUAUCCCCAGGUGGCAAAUGACCAUUUUGCCCCUAGAUAGUGAAAAUUUCAGUUUGACUCCAAAUUGAUCCUCGAACUCCGAAUUACCAUUUUGAGUCAUCCCUGAACUGUGAAACUCUUAAUUUCACCUCAAAAUUCCUAUUUGAACUAGUUCGAGGCUUAAUCGACUUAAUGGUACCAUAAGGGGUAAUAUCGUCUUUUAACGAUUUCUCGAACUUCCUAAACAUGCAAACAUUCUAUUGAGUAUAUAAAUAACGUCGUAAUUAUUUUAUAGAACAGGGUUUGACAGCUUUUUCUGUGUCAUUGAUGCUUAGUUAGAAUGACUAAUCGACGGCUUCCAAUUAUGUUGCUAUUUUCGUAAUUUUUUGAUCUACCUGGUUGGUUUAAUGGAUUUCAUGUUAAAACACUUGCACUAUUUAUUUUAUUGUUGAGCUAACUUUUGUGAUCAAAUUAUGCACCCAAUGGAUUUAAAAAUAUUAUUUGAUGAAUGUACAAAAAUAGGUAGCAAUGAACAUAUAGCAUGUUAGUACUGACUAUUGAGAUUGUAAUCGAUUAUUGUGAUAAAAUAUUAUGACUGAAAACAAACGGAUAACAAUCUGAAAUGCCUGUAGGAACCUGCUGAAAUGCAUACCUAGCUUUUUGACCACGCUUGUCAUCUGAAAAAUGGGAAAGCCCAAGCAAUAAUAUACCUAUUUUCUUCUUUUUCUCCUCCUUGGAGUUAAAAGAGAAGCAAAAAUGAAGAUAAAUCCUUCUUGACUUGGAAGUUGCAUGUGGGAACAAUGUCAAAACUUAAAAAUGGAAAAGAAGGAAAUGAAGAAGGAAAGUAUGCACGGACUAAGCAACUGGCUGCACAUUCUUAGAAUGGAACACAAUAUUAAUGUCACCAUUAACUGAGAGUAUAUUGUCAUUGACUAAGUUUUUUGGCUAAUUCCCUCUCAAAGAAAAAAAAAAUAAGAAUGGAGAUGCUCUGAUAAAGAAAAUUCUAACUAAUGUAAAAUUAUUGGCUUCAUGUUUGUGAUCCUAAUCAUAUUAAUGUCUUCUCUAUAAAAAUUUUAAAAAAUUAAAUUACUUUAAUGAUGCAUAAAUUUCUCAUAAAUUUAACAUUAUUUAAAAAGGUAAUUUAGUUGACACCUUUGAUUGUCUCUUUUGUAAUUGAGCAUUACUCAGUAAAUUUUAAAAAAAUUUUGUGAACUUGUUGUCUGUCUAAAUCAUUUAAUUUAGACAUAGAAAAUAAUUUAAUGUCAAUUUUACAUGUAAAGUAUGCAGAUGUUUACUCAAAUGCAAAAACCAAGAGCCAUAGAAGAAAAUGAUGCACAUAUAUACCAAGGAGAGAUGAAGUUUCAGGAGCCAAGGCCAAGCUUUUCUAUAUUGAUCAAAGAAAACUCAAGUAGAAAUAAACUUUGCACUACAAUAAUCAGAAGCCCACUAGCAGAGGGAAUUAAGAAACAACUGUUAAUUCUUCUCUUCGGCUAGCAAAAGCACUUGAAUAUAGAAAUUUUUGAGUAAGUGAUAUGAUCCCUCUAUUAUUGUCCUUUAAUUUUUGUUAUUCUGUAAUCAUUUUUCCAUUGAGAUCCAUUUAUUCUCACCUACUUGCUUGCUCUGUUUAAUGGCUUUCAUGAAAAAAUACUGUAUCAUAUAUAAUUAAGAGGGAGAUUUUCAAAACUUUCGUGGUUUAGAGAUUAGUAUAAUAAAUAAAAGAAUAUGUGACAAUAUUUUAAUCUAAUUUGUGGUUUAGAAACUAAACUGAAAAUGUAUAAAAUAAUAUUCUUAAAAUUAUUCUGAAAAGGCACUCUAUAGGUAAAUCUCUACUUUUUGAACUAUCAUUUACAGAUCAUAUUUUUUUUUCCCCCACAUUUGAUUCCUUGUUCUUUAUCAGAAAAUCAUGCCUCUUCCUAAUCUCUGUAUCUGUCUCAUUAUUUCAUUGGGAGGGUAAAAGAAAAUGAAUCCCCCUUUCUCCUCAAAGAGAAUGUGAUAGUGGGUCCACACUCUGAAAAAUUGUCUGUAUGAAGGAAGAAAUAGUUUUGGUUAGUCGCGACCUACUUUCUGAAAAAUUGCUGGACUCUUGUCCUGAGAGAAUUAAGUUUAAGGUGGGAACCGAAUUUAUCAAAGCAAAAGGGAGAUUCUCGGAACUUUUUUGAUAAUUUUGAUUCAUUGUGGAAUCAAACACAAUAUCAAUGUCACUAUUUAUGGAGAGUGUAUUGUCAUUAAAAAAGUAUUUAUUGACUAAUUUUCUCUCAAAGAAUAAAAAAAGGAUGAAGAUGCUCUGUUGAAGGAAAUUUUAAUUAAUGUAAAAUUGAUUUCAUAUUUGUGAUUCUAAACAUAAUAAUAUCUUUUUCAUAAAAUUUAAAAAAUUAAAUUAUUUUAAUAAAUAAAAUAUAAAUUUUCACUAAACAAAAUUUUAAGCAUAAUAUCCAACACCUUUAUCCUUGGAGGCCAAUCCCUGUGAGAACAACAACCAGAGCAGGGCGCGAGCAAGCACCCACUAGGAGAAUAAACAAAAUUGAUCACAUAAAGGACCCCUGUAACAAAAGACAAAUUCAGUGUGAACAAUCAACAAAAGUUGGCCCCCAGAAGCAAUCAAAAAACUUGUCAAGAGCAGCUGCAAAAGAAAUGAAAGUCACACUUUUUAUUUUUUCUUUGUGCUCCUAUAUAAGCAAAUGGGCGGUGGAAUCAUCGAUUCACUUUUGAAUUAUUAAUAUUUUUUUAUCAUUUUUUAAUUACUUUUCAGUAUUUAUUUUUAACCAACUUAAUUAGUUUGUAUGAAAAACAAUUAAUUCUCUUUGUAAGCAAAAACUAUUAUUAUUAUUUCGUAAAUGUUGUUAAGAGUAAACACUACACUUGAUUAUCCUUAUUUAUAAUUCAUUUGUAAUUAAACAUUAUUUGGUGAAUUCUCUUGUAAUAAAGAGUAAUGACUUACUUUUAAAAGCUUUUUGUGAACUUGUUGCCUGCCUAAAUCAAUUAAGUUGGACAUGGAAAAAAAUUUAGUGCCAAUUUUGCAUGUAAAGUUUGCAGAUGUAUACUCAAAUGCAAAAACCAAGAGCCAUAGAAGAAAAUGAUGCACAUAUAUACCAAGGAAAGACGAAGUUUGAGGAGCCAAGGCUAAGCUUCUAUUUUUAUCAAAGAAAACUGAAAUAGAAAUCAAGUUUGCUCUACAAUAAUCAGAAGCCCACUAGCAGAGGGAAUUAAGAAGCAACAGUUAAUUCUUCUUCAGCUAGCAAAAACACUGGAAUACAGGAGAUAAAAUUUCGAAUAAAUGAUGUGAUUCCUUAUUAUUGUCCUUUAUAUUUUUGUCAUUUUACAAUCAUUUUUUUCUUCAGAUCCAUUUAUUUCUCACCUACUUGCUUAAUGGCUUUCAUGAAAAAAUAGUUGAUGCCAAAAACGAAACCUUAUCCUUCAAUAACCAGAAAUCAACUUUGCACUACAAUAACCAGAAGCCCGCUAGCAAAAGGAAUUAUGGAACAACCGUUUAUCCUUCUUCAGGUAGCAAAAACAAUUGAAUACAGAAACUCCAAGGCAGGAGAGAAAAUUUUGAAUAAAUGAUGUGAUCCUUCUAUUUUUGUCAUUUUGCAAUCAUUUUCCCCUUGAGCUUCCAUGUGUUUCUCACCUUUAAAUAGUAUUAUUCUUUCAAACAAAAGAAUACCAUCGAAAACAGGAGCCACAGCCAUUUGGCCAUUAGAUAGUUGAUGCUCCUCCCAUCUUUUUCCUUUCUUCUUGUGGUCUAUGAGGUGAUCUCUUAUCCAAAACUGAAAACGAAACAUCAAUUAAGAUGCUGGGUAGUAAAUAGGUGAAGCUUUCUUUCCAUUCUGAUGCAGUCACAGGUCCUAAUUUGCACAUCCUUUUCUUCUGAGUGAGCUGUCAUUAGUCACGGUAUCAUGUAGAAGGGUCUAUUUCAUUAAUAAAAUUGUUGAUUUUCAAAAAUAUAAAAUAAAAAUAUUUAAAGAGUGUUAUAGCCUUUUAUUUUGCUUUAAACUUUUUUUAUUUUUUAUUAAUUAAAAAGAUGAAAAUUGACAGUUUCUUUGUAGCUUUUGUCAAUGCGACAAGACAUUAUAUUGAUACCUACAAGUAUGAGUAAUUGACGUGAUCUCUCUAUUAUUGUCCUUUAUGUUUGUUAUUUCCCUGUUGUGUACAUUUAAUGGCUUUCAUGAAAAAAUCUCUCUCUGGCUACAAACUUGAUAGGACCAAAGGAUUAGAAUACCGAUAUCAACCAACCAAUUUACUAGAUAAUGGAUGCAUAUAUGGACAAAUAUAUUUAUAAAUAUUGAUAAAAAAAGUGUAAAAAUGAUGAAAAUAUACAGUAAAUGUUAGAAAUUUAGAAUCAAAUUUAGCAUAUGUUUAUACAUAUUUUAGAAUUAUAGUAUAAAAAUUAUAUCAUACUAAUUAACUCUACACAUAGUAUAUUGUUAAAUAUUUAUAGGGUAAAAAAAAAUCUCUAUUAUAUUAUAAUUUAUAUUAUAAAUAUGGAAAUAAAUUGAAGCUAAUUUGUGAAAUAUUGAUUUCCAAACCCAAAUAUUAAAAGCCGAACCGAUUAAUAAUACCUAAUACCAUAUUGAAUUCUAAUUAAUUGAAAAUAUUUGGCUUCAUGUUUAUGCACCUAAACAUAAUAAUAUCUUCUUAGUAAGAUUUCAAGAUAUUGAAUCUUUAUAAACCUAUUGAAAAUAGAAUAAAAAUCAACAAGCGUCAUUUGAAUUACUUUAAUGAAGCAUAAUGUAACAACUCAAGUUCAAGUAUUCGUCUAGCAACUAAGCCACGUGGUCCUCAAGUUGCUAAUAAUAAUGGAUUUGAAUUGUUAUAUAGGUUUUAACAAUCAUAUUCACAUAAGAUGUAGGCAAUGGAGUAUCACAAUCCCACUCAUUGAAAUCCUUGAUGUUCUUAUUAAGGCAUUCGCAAGACCAAGAUCCCCCACGUCAAACUGGUGUAAGCUCUGAUGCUAUUUAUAACAACCUAAAUCUAAGCACUAACCCAACAACCUUUUAGGCUUCAGUCGCAUGAUUCUUAAAAGCUCAAGUUCUAGUAGUAAUAGACGUGGCUUUUUAUAUAAGUGUUAAUAAUCACAUUCAAAUAAGAUGUGAGAUGUGGGGUAUCACACAUAAAUACUCCUAAAGAAAUAUUAUCAACAUUUUCUAUUAUUUAGAUCAUUUUGAUGAAAAUAUUUUCCAUCAUCAUUGGUGAAGUUAUUUGGGUGUUAAAAUGAUAAAUAGGAGUUGAUUACAAAAUAAUGAGGCCAUUAGGUUUUCACAUUAAAAUUAAGAAUGGAAAUGAAAAUGAGCAAAAUUAAUAAUAAUAUUUUUCAGUGCAUUUAACCACAUAUUAUAAAGAAAGUAAGUUUCAAUUUUGAAAAAAUUUCUAUCUCAUCAUUGUUUUAUCAUAACAUUAUAAAAAUAUCGAUAUUUAUCAAUUAUGUAAAACAUUCAAAACUUAUAUUUAUAAAUGUGUAUUCAUUAAAUGACGAUCUUUGAAAUAUUUUUUGUUAUAAUUAUUAGUAAGAUUUAUUCAAUUUAUAAAUAAAAAUAUUAAUUGCAUUAAAUGAUUUCAUUAAAAAGUAUGUUUUAAAAUUUUAACAGUAUUCAAUAAUUUAAAUAUUAAUAUUUUAAAUUAAUUUUUUUAAAAUUAAAUAUUUUUAUUUUUAUUUUUUUAAUAUUUUAAAUUAAAUAUGAAUAUUCUUCAAACUUAUUAUCCCAAGUUUAAUAUAAGAAAAGUUUUUUUAUUCUUUAGGAAAUGUCUUACGCCGCUGUAUGUUCAGGGACUCGAUUUCCUCUUGAUAACGCUUUUGUCAUUUGGAACAAUUAAGCCCUUUUGUACGUAUACUACUCAUUUUAUCUUCAUAGCUUGACUUUUUAUGUCACUAUAAGUCUUUUAUCUACAAGAUUCAAGACUUAUUAUGAAAUAUAAAUUUUUAAAAUUAAAAAAUUUCUACUUUUAAAAAAAAAUUAAUUAUAAUUGGUAUGGUUGGUCAUUUAAUGGCUUUCAUGUAGCGCAUUACUUAUUGGAAAUAGAAAAUAUCUUUUCAAAUGUAAAACCAUAGAAGAAAAGGAUGAACAUUUACUGAACAUCUCUUUAUUGUUUUUUAAACUGUUUCUUUUCUUGGUGAUAUGCUUUUUCUCUUUCAUUCCUGCCUUAUUUUUGCUAAAACCUUUGCUUUGCGUCAAACACCUCCUUUUAUUUACUCAUUAAGAAGGUGGAUUUGAUCAUCUUAUUUUUGCCCUUUUAAUAGUUACUUACUCACUAUUAUUGAUCAUCUUAUUUAUUGAUCCUUUAUUAUUGUCAUUUUCUGUAAUUUUCUCAUCUACUUGGUUGGUUGGUUUAAUGAUUUUCAUGGAAAAACACUUGCACUAAUUAUUUUCUCUUUGGGAUUAAAUUUUAUGAUCAAAUUAUGCCCUCAAGGGAUUCAAAAUUUAAUUACAAAAUAUAAAAAGGUUCAAGAUUCAAAUUAAUAUUUUUCUAAAUUUUUCCUCCCUCCUAAUGUAUUGAAAGAAGUACAGAUAAAAAAUGCAUCCAAAGAAAUAACUAAUUUAGAUUAUUUAAGACAAAUAUUUUAUUUGACUAAAGAAAAUAAGGCGUUAUUUUCAAAAAUUUUAUAAUAAUUGUCUCUAAAUUUUUUAUUGUCCUCUGUAAGGGCCUACAAUUAUUUGAUAGUUCUAGGGACCUAGAUUAUUCACACAAAUUAUGGAAAAAUUCUCCAUCCAUUAAAUUAAAUCUCCUGGCCAAAAACAAAACUUUAUCCUUCAAUAACCAGAAAAUCAACUUUGCACUACAAUAACCAGAAGCCUACUAACAAAAGGAACCGUUUAUCCUUCUUCGGGUAGCAAAGACAAUUGAAUACAGAAACUCCAAGGCAGGAGAGAAAAUUUUAAAUAAAUGUUGUGAUCCCUCUAUUUUGUCAUGUUACAAUCAUUUUUCCCUUGAGCACCAUCUAUUUCUCACCUUUAAAUAGUAUUAUUCUUUCAAACAAAAGAAUACCAUCAAAAACAGGAGCCACAGCCUUUUGGCCUUUAGAUAAGUUGAUGCUCCUCCCAUCUUUUUCCUUUCUUCUUGUGGUGUAUGAGGUGAUCUCUUAUCCAAAACUGAAAAAGAAACAUCAAUAAAGAUGCUGGGUAGUAAAUAGUUGAAGCAAAUAGGUGACGCUUUCUUUCCAUUCUGAUGCUGUCACAGGUCCUAAUUUGUACAUCCUUUUCUUCUGGGUGAGUUGUCGUUAGUUACAGUAACGUGUAGAAGGGUCUAGUUCAUUAAUAAAAUUGUUGAUUUUCAAAAAUAUAAAAUAAAAAUAUUUAAAGAGUAUUAUAGUUUUUUGUUUUGCUUUAAACUUUUUUAUUUUUAAUUAAUUAAAAAGAUGAAAAUUGACAGUUUCUUUAUAGCUUUUGUUAAUGCGACAAGACAUUAUAUUGAUACCUCCAAGUAUGAAUAAUUGACGUGAUCUCUCUAUUAUUGUCCUUUAUAUUUGUUAUUUCCCUUUUAUGUACAUUUAAUGGCUUUCAUCAAAAAAUAUCUCUCUAGCUACAAACUGUUUAGGACCAAAGGAUUAGAAUACCGAUAUCAACCAACCAAUUUACUAGAUAAUGGUUGCAUAUAUGGACAAAUAUAUUCAUAAAUAUCGAUAAAAAAAUGCAUAAAAAUGAUGAAAAUAUAUAGUAAAUGCUAGAAAUUUAGAAUGAAAUUCAGCAUAUAUUUAUGCAUAUUUUAGAGUUAUAAUAUAAAAAUUAUAUCAUACUAAUUAACUCUACACAUAAUAUAUUAUUAAAUAUUUAUAAGGUAAAAAAAAAGAAAAUUUCUGAAGAAUAACCCUCCUUGAUAAGAGCAUUUAAAAAAUAAUCAUUAAAAUAAAUUUAACUGUUUUUAACCAUAUUUAGCCAUGAUUUGAUAAAAAUACCCUUGAAACUAUUUCAAAUAAAUUAAACCAUUCAUCACAAUUUUUUUCCAUUUCUGCUUCCGAUUUCUCUCUCUCACCAUCAAGCUCUCUCUAAUUUUAUCGAUUUCUCUUUUCGGCAUUCAUCUACUAUACUCUUAAUUACUCUCUCUCACACUUUUAAAUUUUUCUCUCCUACGCUUUCAAGACACCAAGUGACGAUUUUAAUGUGCUUGGAGUAGGUGGCUAUUUGAAAAUUUUGAUUUUUAAAUAUUUUAGAUAAAACUAAAACAGUAAAAAUUAUCACAGAUGUUUGAAAUAGCUUUUAAAUGGAUCAAUUCGAGGACCUAGACAUGAAUAUACUUAAGAAUUUGAAAAUUAUAAACUUAGGUUUUUAAAGGAAUUUUUUUAUUUUUAGUCAAAAUAGGUGUUUUAGAUAAGAAAAUUUAUGUUUUGAUUUAUGAAAUAUGUUAGAAACACUUUAAUCGGUACCAAAUUGUUAAAAAAACAAAAAAAAAAUGAAAAGAGUUUAGAGGAUUUGAAGUUUUAGUUUGUAAGUAACAACAACAUUUUAAGCAUUACAGUAUAACAAAAUGUUUUUGAACAUAGAGUGUAAUAAUAAUAUUUUUUUAACAUGCGGUCAAACUAUAACAUUUUUUUCAACAUGGCGUGUAACAACUUUUUUUAACCAUGACAUAUAACAUGUUUUUGCAUAUGGCAUGUAUCAACAAUAAUUAUUUUUUCAACAUUGCGUGUAACAACCUUUUUUAACCAUAACCUAUAAUAUAUUUUUGUAUAUGGCGUGUAACAACCUUUUUUAACCAUGACGUGUAACAUGUUUUUGUACAUGACAUGUAACAACAAUAAUUUUUUUUUCAACAUGGCAUGUAACAACUUUUUUUAAUUAUGACGUGUAACAUAAUUUUGUACGUGGUGUGUAAUAUCAUGGGGUGCAGUUUCAUUAAUGGUGAUUUUAUCCAAUUUGGAUAAAAACAGUUAAAAUUAUAAAGAAGGUUAUUUUUGAAAAUAUUUUAUCUUUAAGGGUUAUUUUCAAAAAUACCCCCAAAAAAAUCUGUAUUAUAUUAUAAUUUAUAUCAUAAUAUAGAAAUAAAUUGAAGCUAAUUUGUGAAAUAUUGAUUUCCAAAGCCAAAUAUUAAAAGCCGAACAGAUUAAUAAUACCUAAUACCAUAUUGAAUUCUAAUUAAUGGAAAAUAUUUGGCUUCAUGUUUAUACUCCGAAACAUAAUAAUGUCUUCUUUGUAAGAUUUCAAGAUAUUGAAUCUUUAUAAACCUAUUGAAAAUAGAAAAAAAUCAACAAGCUUCAUUUAAAUUACUUUAAUGAAGUAUAAUGUAACAACUUAAGUCCAAGCAUUAGCCCAACAACUAAACCACAUAGCCCUCAAGUUGCUAGUAAUAAUGGAUUUAAAUUGUUUUAUAUGAGAUUGAACUAGUAUAGGCUUUGAUAUUAUUUGUAACAAUCCAAGUCCAAGCACUAGCCUAGUAACUUUUCAAGCCUGAAUCACAUGGUUCUUAAAAGCUCAAGUUACUAGUAGUAAUAGACUUGACUUAUUAUUAGGUCUUAACAAUCACAUUUAAAUAAGAUGUGGGAUGUGUGGUAUCACACAUAAAUACUCUUAAAGAAAAAUUAUCAUGAUUCAAAAAGCAAUUAAGGGUCUGUUUGGUAAUAAGAAAAUAACUUGUUGGGAGAAAAAUUUUUUUGUGUAAAAUAUUUUAUAGGAGAAUCUAAUAUUUCAUAUUGUUUGGAUAAGUUGUUAAAAACAUUUUCUAUUGGGUAAAAUACCUUGGCCCCCCUAAAUUUUGUUUGAAAUUAUACAGAGAUUUAUUAGUUUUCGAAAUGGACAUUCUACCCUAAGACAACAAACACCGCUAACAGAAAUAAUGAAAAGACUAAAAUAUCUUUUUUUUUUUAAAUAAAAAAAUAGGGAGCCUCGGUGCUCCCCUUGGGGAGCUUGAUUGGGGGCUCUUUAAGCACUGGUGCUCCAUUCGGGAGCCUGAUUUGGGGCUCCCCCGGUGCUCCCCAAUGGGGAGCUAUUUUUUUUUAUUAAUAAAAAAUAAUAAAAUUAUAUAAUUGUAAUUAUAAGAAUUAAUCAAGUGUAAAAUUAUCUUUCUACCCUUCCUACGUUAGCAUGUUGACGAAAAUACUAACUGUUAGACCUACGUGUUUAGCAAAAAAUAUUUUUUUGAGACAGAGUGUCUAUUUUGAAAACUAAUGGACCUUUAUGUAAUUUCGAUCAAAACUUAGGGGGGUUAGGGUAUUUUAUUCUUUUUCUAUUAUUUGGAUCACCUUGAUGAAAAUAUUUUCCACCAUCAUUGGUGGAGUUAUUUGGGUGUUAAAAUGAUAAAUAGGAGUUGAUUACAAAACAAUAAGGCCAUUAGGUUUUCACAGUAAAAUUAAGAAUGGAAAUGAAAAUGGAAAAAAUUAAUAAUGAUAUUUUCCAAUGCAUUUAACCACAUAUUAUAAUAAAGGUAAGCUUCAAUUUUCAAAAAAACUUCUAUCUCAUCAUUUUUUUACCAUAACAUUAUAAAAAUAUCAAUAUUUAUCAAUUAUAUAAAACAUCCAAAACCUUUAUUUAUAAAUGUGUAUUAAUUAAAUGACGAUUUUUGAAAUAUAUUUUGUUAUAAUUAUUAGUAAGACUUAUUCAAUUUAUAAAUAAAAAUAUUAAUUGUUUUGAAUGAUUUCAUUAAAAAAAAUAUUUUUUAAAUUUGAAUUGUAUUGAAUAAUUUAAAUUUUAAUAUUUUAAAAUAAAAUUUUUAAUUAAAUAUUGAUUUUUUUAUUUUUUUAAUAUUUUAAAUUAAAUAUUAAUAUUCAUUAAAUUUGUGUGCUAAGUUUAGUAUAAAAGCAGUUUUUUUGUUCUCCGGGAAAUGUCUUAUGCCUCUGUUUGUUUAAGGGCUCGAUUUCCCCUUGAUAACGCUUUAUCAUUUGGAGUAGUUAAGCCCUUUUGUAAGUGUACUACUCCUUUUAUCUUCAUAGCUUAACUUCUUAUGUCACUAAAAGUUUUUUGUUUACAAGAUUCAAGACUUAUUACGACAUGCAAGCUUUCAGAAUUAAAAAAAAUUUCUAAUUUCAAAAUAAAAAUUAAUUAUAAUUGGUAUGAUUGGUCAAUUAAUGGCUUUCAUGUAGCGCAUUACUUAUUGGAAAUAGAAAAUAUCUUUCCAAAUGUAAAACCAUAGAAGAAAAAGAUGAACAUUUAUAAAACAUCUCUUUAUUGUUUUUUAAACUCUUUCUUUUCUUGGUGGUAUGCUUUUUCUCUGUCAUUCCUGCCUUAUAUUUGCUUAACCCUUUGCUUUGCUUCAAACACCUCCUUUUAUUUACUCAUUAAGAAGGUGGAUUUGAUCAUCUUAUUUUUGCCCUUUUAAUAGUUACUUACUCACUAUUGAUGUGAUGAAAAGACGAGAAAAAAUGACAGUUUCUUCACAGCUUUUGUUAAAAAGACAUAAUGCGUUCAUACUUAAAUAAACUAAUUACACCUUUAUUAUUGUCGCUUUCUGUAAUUUUCUCUUCUACUUGGUUGGUUGGUUUAAUGGAUUUCAUGUAAAAAUACUUGCACUAUUUAUUUUAUUUUUGGGAUUAAAUUUUAUGAUCAAAUUAUGCCCCAAGGGACUCAAAAUUAAAUGACAAAAUUAUUUGAUAGUUCUAUGGACAUAGUACCUAGAUUUUUCAGACAAAUUAAGGCAGAAUUCCCCAGCCCUUAAAUUAAAUCUCCCGGCCAAAAACAAAAUAAAACUCUACAAAAUCCAUGUUUGAGAAUCGUCAUAGCUCCUCCUUCCUAUGUUGCGUGGACUAUCUCUUGAUCAUAGUUUGCUUAUCCAUGUUUGAGAAUGGCUAAGGAUGUUAGUACUAAUUGGUAAGAGACAAAUACAAGUUUUUAGCUCUCAGCUUCACACAAAUGCCAUGGGUGGAGUGUAACUGUAUCAAAUCAAAAGAGUUAAUUUUGACAUACAAAAUAAUUCAGUGCCAAUUUUACAUGUAAAGUAUGUAGAUGUAUACUCAAUUGCAAAAACCAAGAGCCAUAGAAGAAAAUGAUGCACAUAUAUACCAAGAAAAUCCGAAGUUUCAGGAGCCAAGGCUAAGCUUCUAUAUAUUUUGAUAAAAGAAAACUCAAGUAGAAAUCAAGUUUGCAUUAAAAUGAUCAGAAGCCCACUAGCAGAGGGAAUUAAGAAACAACAGAUAAUUCUUCUUUUGGCAGCAAAAACACUUAAUACAGACACUUCAUAAAGGUGGGAGCAGCUUUUUGCUUUGUUCCUUUGGUCUAUGAGCUGAUAGUCUUGAUUAUCUCUAAUCCAAAAUUGACAAAGAAUUAAAUCCAACGCGGUUUGAGGUGGUGGGUAGUAAAUGGGUGCAGCUUUCUUUCUAUUCUGACGCUGUCGCUGGUCCUUUCUACAUCCUUUUCUUCUCAUGUAUAAGGGUCCAGUUCAUUAAUAAAAUUUGUUGAUCACAAACCAAUAACACACUUGAAUACAGAAACUCCAAGGCAGGAUAGAAAUUUUCGAAUAAUUGAUGCUGAUCUUUCUAUUUUUGUUCUUUAUAUUUUGGACCAUUACUUUUCAACCUACUUGAUUGGCUGUUUAAAUGGCUUUCAUGAAAAACUAUCUUUACACCAUAAAAAUAGAAAUAAAUUGAACAAAUUUGUAAUAUAUUAAUUUUCAAUGACACCAAAUAUUAAAAACUUUGAACCGAUUAAUAAUACCAAGUACCCAUAUUGAAUUCUAACAAUUGAAAAAUUAGUUUCAUGUUUAUGCUCUAAACAUAAUAGUAUCUUCUCCAUAAGAUUUUAAGAUAUUAAACGUUUAUAGACCAAUUGAAAAUAGAAAAAAGAUCAAGCAACUUCCUUUGAUUUAUCUUAAUAAAGCAUAAAUUUCUCCUAAAAAAAAUUUACUCUGAUUCAAAAAGCAAUUAAGUUUACACCUUUAACUAUUUUUUUCUUGUGCUCUUACAAAAUUUGUGAAGAAAACUAAUUUGUCAUUAUCAAAAUUGUUAGAUUCUUCACGGCUUUUACUAAUGUGACAUGACAUCAUUGAUGCAAUUUUAAAUUAUUAAUUCUUCUAAUUUUAUUACUAUUUCAAUUAUUUUUCAGCAUUUAUUUCUUACCAACUUACUUGGUUGGCAGGUUUACCUGGAAAAAGCACAUGACUCUUAAGAGUAAAACUACUAUUAUUACAAACACUUCCUUUUUUUCAUGGAAAAACACUCGCACUAUUUAUUUUGUUUUUGGAAUUAAAUUCUGUUAUCAAAUAUUUAUGCCCCCAAGGGAUUCAAAAUUUAAGGACAAAAUAUGAAAAGGUUCAAGAUUCAAUCUAAAUUUUUUUCCUCCCUUGAAUUAUCCUAUUGUAUUGAAAGAAGUACAAAAUCCAUGAUUGAGAAUACCAUAAAAAUUGGGGCCACGGCCGACCUUUCGGCCUUUAGAUAGUUGAUGCUCCUCCCAUCUUUUUCCCCUGCUCUUGUGGUCUAUGAGGUGAUCCCUUAUCCAAAACUGACUAAGAAACAUCAAUUAAGCUGGUGGGUAGAAAAUAGGUGUAGCUUUCUUUCCAUGCUGACGCUGUCGCAGGUCCUCAUUUGUAUAUCCUUUUCUUCUGAGUGCUCAUUAGUCACAGCAUCGUGUAGAAGGAUCCAGUUCAUUAAUAAAAUUGUUGAUUUUCAAAAAUAUAAAAGCAAAAAAAUUUAAAGAGUAUCAUAGCUUUUUAUUUUGCUUCAAACUUUUUUUUAAUUUUUUUUAUUAAUUAAGAAGAUUAAGAUUGACAGUUUUUUUGAAGUUUUUGUUAAUGCGACAUGACAUUGUAUUGACACCUACAAAUAUGAAUAAUUGACGUGAUCUCUCUAUUAUUGUCCUUUAUAUUCGUUAUUUCCCUUUUAUGUCCAUUUAAUAGCUUUCAUGGAAAAAUAUCUCUCUAGCUACAAACUGGAUAGAACCAAAGGAUUAGAAUACCGAUAUCAACCAACCAGUUUACUGGAUAAUAGAUGCAUAUAUGGACAAAUAUAAAUAUAUUCAUAAAUAUCGAUAAAAAAUAGGUAAAAAUGAUGAAAUAUAUAGUAAAUGUUAGAAAUUUAGAAUGAAAUUUGGCAUAUGUUUAUACAUAUUUUAGAGUCAUAAUAUAAAAAUAAUAUCAUACUAAUUAACUCUACACAUCGUAUAUUAUUAAAUAUUUAUAGGGUCAAAAAAUAAAUAAUCUAUAUUAUGUUGAAAUGUAUAUCAUAAAUAUUGAAAUAAAUUGAAACAAAUUUGUGAAGAAUUGAUUUCAAAACCCAAAUAUUAAAAGCCCAAUCAAUUAAUAAUACUUAAUGUAUUGAAAGAAUUACAAAAUCCCUGAUUGAGAAUCGCCAUAGAUCCUCCUUCCUAAGUUGCAUGGAAUAUCUCUUGAUCAUAGUUUGCUUAUCCAUGUUUGAGCAUGGCUAAGGAUGUUAGUAGUAAUCGUUUAAGCCAAAGAAAUAGUGAAUCAAAGGAAAGAGCCUAACUUCCCCUGCCUCGCUUUAAAGGAAAGAGCCUAACUUCCCCUGCCCCGCUUUAAAGGAAAGAGCCUAACUUCCCCUGCCCCGCUUUUGUAGGAUCAGGGGAUGAACAUAGAUAUUUGACAAGCUUCAAUCAGUUGAAGCUAGAUUCCAAAUUCCAUAGUCUCUGCAACAUACAAAUAGUUAGUGAAAGUUCAGAUUUUUGCACUUGACAUGAUUCGGUAUGGUUUAAAAGAUUGUAUUGAUGGGUCUGCUUCAUUAGUUUUUCCCACGGUUUGUAACACAAAAGAAAAGGUAUAGCAACGCCGCUUCAUCUAUCAAGAAUAUAUUUAUAUAAAAUUAUAAAUAACAUCUCAUUAAAUUAAUUAUAAGAUCGUCACAGCAAAAUCAAGCAUGGAAAACCAUGAGAAAUUUGUUUCAUCUCUGAAUCAGACAUGCAAGUAAACAUAACUAUGGUUGUGUGAUUGUUCUGGGGAUUGGUUGGUGUUUCGGUCACUGGCUUCUUCUUGGGUUGGUUGUGUGAUUGUGUGAUGUUUUCAUCUGCUUUGGUUAGGAAGAUUAUUUUCCCAGGAAGAGUUCCGACGUCUCUAAGUGGUUCAGGUUUUGAAUGAUAGGCUUGUGCUCGUUGUUUGAUGCUAGAGUUCAAUGGCGAGCUUUUUCCUUAUAUAUUGUUUUAUGCCAACUGGUUGCUUUUGUGUUCAGUGGCAAGUUGUGUAUAUCCUUUUGAUCUUUCCCAUGCCAGUUUUUUUUAUGCCAACCAUUAUUAGGUUUUUUUUUUAUUUGGGGAUGAGCUGAUUUGAAGCUUGCUUUUUGAGUAAAGAAUCAUACAUCAAUUAUUGAGUUAAAUAUGUGAGAAUCAUUAUUAAUUAAUUUAUUUUGAAAGAUAAUUAAUUAGUUUUACAUAUAAUUUUUAUGAAUAUAUACCGGAUUUGGUGCUUCUCAGUCAGAUCCUCAUGAUCGAAUCUGGCACUCCAUGGUCAUAUUUGAUCACGGGAAAUGCCGAUUUGGCACAUCCUGGUGGUUAGAUGGUGUGCUAGAUCGGCAUUUCAUUACACUAGCCACAUUUUCGGUGAUUGGCCAACGGACAAAAAGAAAGGAGAAAGAGAACAAGAGAAAAAAAAUUAAAAUAAAAAAGUUGAAAAAUUAUUUAUAAAUUAUAAACAAUUAAUAUUUUAAUAUUUUAAUCAUAACAAUGUUUAAAUAUAAAUAAAAUAUGAAAAUUUUAAAAUAUAAAUGUUUACCUUAUUAAAUUAUUAAUAUAUUAAAUUUGUAAGGAAAGAAUAAAUAAAAAAUUAAAAAAAUGCAAAUAAAGAAAAAUAAAAAUUAUACUAAUAUUUUAAUAAUAAAUUAUUAAAAUUUUAAAUUUUUAAUGAAAAUAAAAAUAAAAUGAUUAAAAAGAAAAAUUUUACUUAUUUUUGUCUUUUGGUAUAAAUUUUACUAAAUUAUGUAAAGGGUAAUUUUGUUGUUUUAUAAAAUAAAUCUUAUUAUAAUAAAAAAUUUAAAUUUUUUAAUUAUAUAUUAUAAAAUUAAUAUUUUAAAUUUGCUAGCGGUAUGGGCAAAUCCUCCUUUUAUUAUUUAAAAUUUUUUUAUAUUAUAUAAAAAUUUACUAUAUUUUUUAUAUUUUUAAUAACUCUUUAAAAAUAUUUUUAUUUAAUAAUUAAUAUAAAUAAAAAAAUAAAAUUAUCUAUAUACCUUACUUAAUUUUAAAGUUUUUUUCUUUUAAUUUAUAUUAUUAUUUAUAUUUAUAUUUUUUAUCUUUUUUAUUUCUAUUGUAUUUGCUUAUAUAUUUUAAGUUUAUAUAAAUUUUCUUUUUCAAAUUUCGAUUAACCAUCAACCAUAUUCUAUUUUUUUCUUUUUUAUUAUGUUAUAUGUGGAUUUUAUCUUCUACUUAUCAUAUUCUUCUUUUCACUGUUAUGUGAAUUUUAUUUUUUAUAAUUUUAAUUUUUAAAAUUUAAUAAAUUAUUAUGUAAUUUUAAAAUAUAAGUUGUAGUAUUGCACUGUUGGUUAAAAUUUAAUCCAUGUAUCAUUUUUUUUAUUAAACCUGAUUAUGCAAGAGAAAAUUUUCUUGAGUAUAUCUUUUUUAUGUGAUUUACGUUUUAUAUUUAGUUGAAAGCAAAUUAUCUUGAAUAUAUAGUUUUUAAACAAUAUUGAUUAUAUAAUAAGAAAUUAUUAAUUUUGUAUAUCGUAUUUAACCAUUUAUAUUUUAUACAUUAUAGUUUUAUAUUUAGUAUUAUAAAUUUAAAUAGAAAGAAAAUAAGAAUAUUAGAUAUUAACUAGAUUAAUUUUUUUUUCAAAGUUUGAUUAAAGUAUAAGUCACUACAACAUUUUUAUUCUUUUAUUGCAAAAUUUUAGAUGCAUUUUUUCUUAUGUAACUAAAUUCAUCAUAUUACUCUUGAUACAUUUUAUUUAAUUACACUAUCUAAAGUGUAAUCCCAUAAAAAAAUUAAGAAGAGAAAAGCUCACAAAAUAAAAGCAGCCAACAGCCUAACAAAAAACAAACAAAAGCCCCUUGCCCUUUACGUGGUCAAAUAGACUAUAUUUUUCACCUAUGACUGCAAUAUUUUUUGUAGCCAAAGGUCAACAAUGUUGUAGUGAGUAAGGUGAAAAUAAUUGACAAAUUCUUUAAAAGAAAAGAUUAAGUCAUCCAAAUGAUUCUCAUACACUUAAGCACUGUAUCAAAUAAAUAAAAAUCAGUAAUAGUGCAGAGAAGUAGUAUAGCAUAUAUCAAAUAAACAACAAUCAGUAAUAGUGCAGAGCACUAUUAUUUCUCCUCAUCCCCUAAUUGUUGCUCUAGUUCUGAAGGACCUUCUACUGUGAUUAUUUCUAGUUUUGGCAGAGCAACACUAACUGGAAAUAGACAUUUCAGUUUAUUGCAGCCUGCAAUUUUGGUUUUAUUCAGUGCAAAUAAACAUAUAGGUUGGAAAUGAAUCCUUUGAUUAUGAUGAUCCAACUCUAGGUGCAUGUAGAAAUGAGCCAAUCCCAUUUUAUAGUUCUUUGUACUAGUAUUUUCUUUUAGUAAUGAGUAAUUACUUCAUUUUAAUUGCUCUAUGUGAGCUUGCCGCUGGGCUAUGCUAUCAUGGCCAGAUCAUAUAAAUUGGAGUAGCAAUCAAACUCUCAAUAUUUCAAUAAAUCACUCACAACCUUCACUUAAUAAAAUAUGCCUGGUUUUAAUUUUCCAUGUCUUGGUUUCCUACAUAGCAGACUUGCACAACUUAUUCACUAAAAAUUUAAAAUACAAAAAUAAAGAUAAGAAAGAGAGGAAUUUCACUUUUAUUCUUCCACUUAUUGUACAUAUAGGAUACAAUAACAGCUGCAAGAGAGAGCAACAAUACACUAAUUGACUAAAUUACUGAAAGCAUGCGAUCCGUUCCCUUGACAACUCCAUUAAGCAAAUACCUUUGGGUUACAUUUUGUUUAAGGAAACAACGAAUAAUAGAAAUGAAGAAAAUCAGCACUACGAGGAAGAAAGCAUGUAAGCACUAAGCAACUAGCUGGACAUUCCUUACCUAAAAAAAUGAUUUGUUCAUAUAAUAUUUUGAAUAAUUUGUAAUAUUUAAGAGUCUUAUAUUGAAAGAUAAUUAUUCAAAUGUGAUCGUUCAAAUUAAAAUAUAAUACUUUGAAUAAUGCACAGGUGUUUUCAACAAAAACAAUUAUUGAAAAUUGAUCAGUGAAAUACGUUUGUUGAAACACAAUAAACACAUUUAUAAAAACACAAUAGCCAUAUUUGUUAAAACACAACAGGCACAACUUUUCAGUGUCUAUAAAAAAAAGUACUUCCAAAAUAAACUUCAUCUUCAAAAAAAUAUUCUACGUAGGCUUAUUGUAUCUUGGAAAGUUUUUGUAUACAAAUCCCCAUAAUAACUAACAACUUUUUAAAGAAAAUGUGUUACAAUACACCUCAAGCUUUCGUAAUAUCCCUUUCUUAUACUACUUAUCCUAACAUAAUAAAUAAACUAAUUAAUAAAACCAAUUGACUGCUUGAUUCAAAGUUUUAAACUAGAGAAAGUUUGACAUGUAUACACUUCACUUGCGUCAUCAUCAAUUAAUUUCACACUUUGUUUAAGAAAUACUAGCCUAAUCUCACCCCAUAUACAUAAAUGAAAUAAAACAAGGACAAAUAUUGUGAGAUUUGAACUUUUGUAUUUAACAGAUAAUUAAUAUCUCAAACUCGAAAAUCUGAAGCUCUUAAAGCACAUUGACAAAAGCUAAGCUAAAAAGAAUUUCUGAAAACAUCCAGAGAUAACACACUUAUUACGCAUUGAAGAUAAAGUUUUGUCAAUUGUGUUUUUCCUUGAGAAAGUUUUAAGGAAAAUGAUCCUAAUAAAAAAUAAUAUAAGAAAUAGUUUUGGUCAGGUCAUUUCCACUGAAUUGAUUAUAUCUGCUGCAAAGAUUGAUCAAGAAAUUUAUCAUUUGCACUAACCAAAUAUUCUGUAAACUAUUUCAAUCCUAUUACGUUUUCUCCAAAUAUCAACGAAAUUAAAAAUAUAGAGACAAAAUUCAUCAUUUGCAUUAACAAAAUAUUCCAUAAAAUAUUCUAAGUCUGUUGCCUGCUGUCUAAAAAUCUACUAAAUUAAAAAUACAGUGACAAAACACAAUAAAAUUAAAGCUAAAUAUAACAAUAAAAUUCAAUAUUAAAUUAUAAUAUACUGACAAACUUUACAUUAAUUCCGUCCUUUUUUCUUUCUUUUCCAUGGAUCACUGUGACGGCGUUGGCACAUGAGAGAUUAAGAUAGAGUGAGAAAUCUUGUGAUGCAUUUGUAGAAUAUUUUGGCUGUGCCAUAUAUCCUGCAUUUCGUCUUUCCUCAGUUCACAAGGAUCCAGGGAUAAGUCACUUGGAUCUUUCAUAAAAUAAAAAUCUACUUAACUUAUAUAGGGAAAUUAAAAUUUAUUUUCGCAUGUCUUGAAUAAGAAAUAGAAGAAUUUAACCCUUGUUCUUCUACUUGUUGUACAUACAGAAAGCAACAUAACAUUGAUUGGCUGAGGAAAAAAAACAUAACAUUGAUUGGAUAAAUUGUUGAAAGCAAGUGAUCCCGUCACUUGACAACUCCAUGAAACCAACAUCUGGACCAAUAAAAAGCACAAUAAUUUCAACUAUCUGUUUUUCUUUUUUUAUAUAUAUAUAAAUAAUAAAGGUUAGCACAAGUUAACCACCAAAACUUGAUUAGAAAUGAAAAUGGAAAGUAGCCUUUGUUUUACCUGUGUUUAGUUGAUGGCCCCAAUGUACUCAUUGAUGUUUAAAAAUGCCUUUGCAACUUCCCCUGCAACCAUCUCAUAAUUCUUCCUUGCAAGGUGGUAGCUCAGUAAGCCGAUACUGUGGGUCCUUCCGGUGCCAAUAUAUGUUCCGAUACGGUUUAAAAAUUUUGCAACCCUUGUGAUCAUCACCAAAUGGAAUUCCUAUAACCUUUAAGUCAAGUUCUUCCCAAACAUCAUCAAGAAUUAUAAGGAUGCUCUUCUCGUCAUUGAUUCUCAACUACAAUUGUUCUGCUCUUCCUUCUGGUGUCUUCUUUUGAAAAUCUAAAUCUAGGAAGUCUGCAAUUUUAUCUUGAAUAUUGUUGAUGUUUGGCUUUUGGGACAGAGUUACAGGCACAACUUUAUCGAAGAGUUGUUUGGCUUGGUUUCCCACUUCUUUUGCCAAAGUGGUUUUACCCACUCCUCCCAUCCCAUGUAGUCCAAUCAUGUUCACAUCACCAUUAUUCAGAGCCUCCAUGAUCUCUUUGAAAGCAGAAUUCGAAGAUUCAGAAGACAUGAAAUCCUUAGAUGGAAUGAACUCUAAUCCUGGGAGAGUAGCUCGGUAACCUACUCGUUCAAAAUUAGAAUUCUCUAAAAGUUGAGAGAUACGAAGUGUCUUCUUAGCUACUUUGAUACUUAAGCAGUAUCGCCAGCCCCAACUAGGACGCCAAUUGAAACACUUGUUACGUUCAAUUUCAUCUUCCAAACUCUGAGCUUCUCCCAAUUCUUUGUCUGCCCUUGUUAGCCACUCCUCAACGGCCUUCUCAAUUACCAGAGUUUGCUUUUUUGCCUCAGCGACAUCAUUUUUCACUCGAACUUUUCUCAAUUCAAGUUGAUUUCGUCGAUUCUUGAAAUCUUCAACAAUUUUGCCGAAAUGGAAAAAAUAACUGAGAUAAGGUGAUGCGUAUUCUGUUGCCAGGUUCCCCAGGGUAUUGGUUGCAACAGCGGUAACAGGUUCAGCCAUUCUUUGAUGAUCUGAUACUGAAGAGCAAUUUCUAUAAGUAAAAAGUUUUACAUAGAGACAAAAGCAAUUAGGAAAUGUUUGGAAAGUAUCUUACCUUGGCAACAAUACUUUUAUGAGAUUUGUGAAUCACAAGAGAACAAUUGUCGAUCAACCAACUUGAAAAUUGAAAAUGCUGCACAAGUAGAAAUUAUUCACUGGUCACCAACUUCAGAGAUCGGAAAAGAAAAAUUCAGGACCAGACGAAAGCAAAGAAAUAGAGUAAGGGUAAUUAAAGAAAUAGAGCAAAGAAAUAGUCUAGAGUUGCAUGGAUUUCUUCUUUUAAGAUAGGAAGCAGAGAAAUCAAAAUACUAAAGCUUGCAGCUAUGGGCUUUUUUUUUUUUUUGACCUUUGUGGAGUUAAGGAAAGGAAAAGUAGGAAUCAGAGAACAGAUUUAAUCAAAAUACCGAGGAAAUAUAUGAGAACUUCCAGGAGCCAAGAUGGAGCUUCUAUUCAGAUCAAGGGCUGACAAAGUCGGUGAAGGUUCUUUAAGUUCAAAAAUAACUGGAGGCCAAGGAAUUAAUUAAGAACCAAAAAACUUUCACUUAUCUUUAUUUUAAUGCAUACAAAUAAUUCUGCUUCUAUUCUGCUUUUUAUAGAAAGUAGGAACUCUAAGGCAAGAGGAUUUUUUUUUUUACAUGUUAGAGUAAAAGCAGAAUAUUAUCAUUCUAUAAAAUAAUCUCUUAAAAUUCAAAAUAUCUAUUUAUUUCAGUUUUUUCUCAAUAACUACAGCUUUUAUUUGACCAUGUUGUCGUCUAGGGCUGGGAAAGAAAUAAAGUGUAAAUUGAUUAAUUUUAUUUGCCAAACGAAGAACUGGAGAAGUCAAUUGCAUUAGUAAUUACAGAAAUUGAGCAUAGCAAAAGCUUUAUAUGGAGAAUAUAAUAUGUAUUCUUGAAGCUUAUCUCACUUCGAAUGGAUCUUCUAAAGCUGCAUGGAUUUCUACUUCACCAACUCCGGAGAUCGGGAAAGAACAAUUAAGGACCAACCCAAAGCAAAGAAAUAGAAUAAGGGUAAUUACUUCACCAACUCCGACUUCUUUUUGUAGAUAGAAAGCAGAGAAACCAAAAUACUAGAGAUAGCAGCUUUGGUUUUUUUUUUUUUUGGCUAUGUGGAGCUAAGGAAUGGAAAAGUAGUAGGGAUCAAAGAACAGUUUUUUGUUUUUCUUUUUUUUUUUUGUUUGUGAGUUAAAAGAAAAUGAGGAAAGUAGAAACCGAUGAAGAUAAACAAACAGAGAUGCCUUCUUUUUUUGAGGUGAAAGAAAAGUGGAAAUAUCAAAGAACAUGAAAUGGAAGAGUAAGGUAGAAAUCAAGCUAACUCUUUGGGAUAGUUUAGCUCGCAGAUGUGGAGAUGAUACAAGAAGAUGCUUGAAUGAAAACUCUAUGACGACAAAGUAGUAAGAGUAGGUACAGGCAAUUUGGAACUACUACGAUGCAAUGGAAAAAUAUUAGCAACUUGGCUUACACUCCCCAUGUACGAUUCUCUUUUCUUUGAUAUGCGAAAGCUAAUGCUAUUCAUUGAGAAAGUUUGUUUUAUUUAUUGUUUUUCGGUUGGCUUUUCUAUAGUUUGUUCCCCCUUUUUUGUUUUCUCUUGGUUAUGGGUGGUGCUCGAGACUCCAAUGUUUAUUUCUGCCUCUCGCUAAAAGCUCUUUGGCCAGCAUGAGCUAUCGACAUUAUUAUAUAAUGUUUAUUGAUUUGAGGAUUUUUGUUUACUACUAGGGACAAUUGCAAGUGAAUGUGUUAGAUAUUUUAUUCAAAUUUUAAUCGGAAAUCGGUAAAAUUUCAUUAGUUGAAAAUUAUUUGGUGAUUAAAUUUGAUUAAAGGGUACAUAAACUUAAUGGUUAAGAGUUUUUGAUGGGUAGAAAUUCAUGGUGACAAAGUAAUAUGGACCUAUAAAUAUGUAGUGGGUCUUAACCUUUAAAAUUAAGACAGAAAUGCAAUCUAUUUUUCAAAUUGAGUUUUUUGUCAGAGUUUCACAAAAUUGUAGAGAUGUGAGAAAUAGUAUGGUAAACACUGGUUGCAUGAGAUCCAAGGUAUUGUAAACCUUGAACUAGUGGGAGUAGUUUUUUAUAUACCUUUCUCUCUUCCUAAACAUUGGGAUGAUUAGAAAUUUAGAAGUAGAGUUAUAAGUUGAUCAAAUUCAUUUGGUUUCAAAUUUCUUUUCCUUUUUUAAGUUAAUUUCCUUUUAAAAAAAUUAUAUUAUGUGGCCAAAGGAUAUGAGCUCUUAGUGAAAAUGUAUUUAUAUUGUUGAAAUCAAAUAAAAACUAAAAGAAAUACCAACAAAAUAUUGAUGCUCCUUCCAACUUUAAUCUCUUAGUUUUUUCCUUUAUACUUGGUCUUUGAGGGGAUAGCUUUUGAGUAGAAAUGCCUACUUCCAACAAUUACUAGUCAAUUUACAAUAAUUGGAAAAUUUUCAUUAAAAUAUUUAUAUAAUAUAUUGCCCUUGUUUAAAUUACGUAGACCUCAAUAAGUUAAAUUUUGAGUUAAUUAAAUGAUAGAAAAUUAUCCAAUAAACUAUUGAUGGAAUUUAAAAAUUUUAUUAAUGGAAUUAGAAAGUUGUCACGUAUCCAUUAGGAUAUAUUUUAAAAAAAUUAAUCUGAUAACUAAAAGGACAUUUGACAAUAUUUUAACUUUACUAACGGAGUUAAAAACCCACCGAUUAUUUUACAAAUGAUAAUAAUCCCAACACUAAAUCGCUUCUAUCUAUAAUCCCAAUCACCCACUGCUUUUGCUAGUGGAACAUGGAAUUAUUGAUUCACUUUUGAACUAUUUUUAUUUUAUUAUUCAAGACAAGUCGCAGCAAAGACUUGGUAUUCUUCCAAGUCUUUUUUUAUUGUCAUUUUCUUUUAUUCAAAUAACAAUCAACCCAAACAUGGUUUGCUUUAUGGAAUUAUUAGCCUCACUUUUUUUUUCUUUUUUAUUGUUAUAUGUGUUGAUCAUUAGAUUAUUAAAGGGAGAUAGAUAAUGACAUCAAUCAUCUUUAGGAGAAAAUUCCAAUUAAAAAAAAGACCAGCAUUGAGAAAAAAUAAGCUAAAAUUGUCCAAGAAAGUUUUGUCAAUUGUUUUUCUCCUUGUGAUAGGGAAUAUUUUGGUCACUGGUCGCCUAGUUGAUUAUCUCUGCCUCAAAAUUAAUAAAGAAUACUGGCAACUUGGUUAUGAAUAAUGAAUUGAUUAUUGAGAAGAGUUGGUGUAGGAGUAGGACAUUUGGAUAAAUUAUGGGCAACUUGGCUCAACGUGGUCCCAUUGAGAAAGCUGCAAUGACAAAGCCACUUCUAUACAUUGAGAAAGUUUAUUUUAUUUAUUGUUUUCCAGCUACAAUCCAAAACAUUGUUAGAAAUCCUUUCAUUUCACAAUUCCCAUACAAAACAAAAGCUUGGCAGAUGAACAACAUCAUUAUUUCUUCAGGUUUGUUUUAUUAAUAAUCAAAUUGAUUUCAUUUCACACUUUGUUUUAUCAACAAGGGCAUUUAUAUUACUUGGCCAAUUGAUUGUUAGCCAACUUGAUGGAGACUUGUGCAUUUACCUCCAUAUAUCAUCAACUCCUCCUAUGUUUGAUCUCUUCUUGAUAAAUAGGUUGCUCAUCAAAAUUUUCUAAUGGCAAACCAAUGUCAGGAUAUAUAGUUAAUUAUUUAAGAGAAAGUGAAAUGCAAAUUUUAACUAAUCAAAAUAGCUUUCCUUUGUUGUUUAAAGAGUGAUUUUCUUUGUAGUUGAUUUCUUAGUUUAAUUAGUCUUUAUUAAUAUAAUAUAUUUAUUUAAAUAUAUAAUAUAUUUCUUAGUUUAGUGAUUUUCUUUUUAUUAAAACAUUUAUUAAAAUAUAUUGCCCUGUUUAAAUUACCUAGACCUCAAUAAGUUAAAUUUUGAGCUAAUUAAAUUAUAGAAAAUUAUCCAAUAAACUGUCAUGGAAUUUAAAAACUUUAUCAAUGGAAUUAGAAAGUUGUCGCAUAUUCUUUAGGAUAUAUUUAGAAAAAUUAAUAAAUUAAUCUGAUAAAUAAAAGGACAUUUGCAGUUUCUGUAUAAAUGGCUUGGAGCAUUUGCUACAACUUGAAAAAGGAAGCAUGACAAGAUUGUAUCCAAAUUUGCCUAUAACUUCAAAUUCAGUUCAGCUUCAUCAUCAAGAAAAGAAAAUCUCAGUUCAGAUUGUAGUGUUUCAAAUGCAUGCAUGCUUGCGAAGUUCGUUUGGUAAUAUAUAGCACCAAAAGUAUUUUGAAACCAAAUAUGAAACACAUGGAUCCCAUCUCUUUUUCUAACAACAGGCGUGGCAAGCGUGGGCGUACCAAUUCUAACAUUGGUUUUAGAUUAUGCUUGUUUCAAAGCCAUUUUUUAGUGCUUGUUUCCCCUGGCUUUCUUGGGAGAAUAUCAAGAUUAAGUGGUGCUGUAAAUCAGGGCCAUGUUAGGGAUGGCAGGGGACGGAUUUCAAUAGGGUAUUCGAUGUGAUCAUACUCGAUUAAUGUAAUUUUUUAUAAUUAUAAUUGAAACAGAUUGGAGGAAUGCAGUUAAUUGGAUAUUGAACCUCGACAGUAGAUUAUGGAAAUGGUGGAAGACAUUUCAGCAGGUGGAUUCUUUAAAGGAGGUGAUAGGCAGUGUAUUAUUCUGUGAGUGCUGAUUUUUUGGCAAAGGAAGGUGCAAGGAAAGAGAGUUUUUAUUGGGUAGGAAUUCAUGGUGACAAAGUAAUAUGACUUUAUAGAUAUGGAGUGGGACUUAGUCUUUAGAAUUAAGAUAGAGAUGUAAUAAUCUCUAUAUGAUUUUAUGGCAUCCGUACUUGACCUUUAAGCACAUGUGCCUAAAAUUCCACGGAAUAAUAAGAUAUUGUCAUUGCCUUGAGAUUCACCUUUAGAAUUCUGAUUCUUCUGAUGCAGCUUUGUUUAUCCUGCAGGGAGCCUUCAAAACCAAACAAAGUGAGACAUAAAGAACAAGAAUUAAUUAAUACUAAUUUUUGUUAACAAGUUGUAUAGCACAUAACAAAAAAUAAACAAAAAUCAGUAACAGAGCAAAUUGCAGAUUGUUAAAGACAUGAUAUAUGACUAUGUAACACAAGUCAGACAGAAAAGAGCUAAUGGGUAUUCAUUCAUUAUAUAUGAACUUUCAGGAGCAAGACAGAGCUUCUAUUUUGAUCCAGCCAAAAUACAGACACUAACAAAGUCGGUGAAGUUUUUUUUUUUUUUUUUGAGUUCAAAGAAAAUUGAAGUAGAAAUCAACUAUAAUUAAAAGGACGGCAAAUUAGAAAACAACAGACUUACACUUAUCUUGUUUUGAAUGCACGCAGAUAAUUCUGCUUCUGAUAACAAAAACAGUAGUCAAACAUAGAAAGUAGAAACUCUCAAGGCAAAGACUUGUUUUCUUUGGAAUCCCUUUUUCAUUUUAUUGUUAUUAUUUUUCUUAUUCAUAUCCUUAGUGAAAGACAAGGGCCCCGACAUCUUUUGCCUUAUCAUUGACUAGUUCUCUCUCAGAGAAGAAAAAAAAAAAGAAAAGGAUGGAGUCAUGGAGAUGCUCUGCUACGGGCCCUGCUGUUUGGCAUUCCAGGAAGUGUUCUGGAAAGAGGAUGGGAAUCUAUAUUCUUGGUUUAGUUUAUUGUAUGCUUAGCUUUCAUGAUCUCAUCUUUUACUAUUUUAUAAGCUUUUUGAAUAUUCAAAGUUAUGAAGGAAUAAUUUUUACAAAUAAUUCUAAAUUUAUUAGAAGUAAAAAGUCAAGUAUGGUCCAACCAAGUAAUUACUUGAGCUAUAUGUAAACCUUUAUCAUGAGCAAGAAUAAUUUUAUACAGGUAAUUAUGUCAUGUCAAGUCAAGGUUCCAAUGCAGUAAACAGUAACUUGAUUAUCCAGCUGAUACAUUCUUUUAACAUCUCUAUAUAUUUAUGGCUUUUGAAUUAUUGAUCUGAUCCCUUUAUUAUUCUUGGUGAUAUGCAUUUUCGCUGUCAUUUCCUGUCUUCUUUUUGCUUACCCUUCUAUUUUGCUUACAACAUUCUUUUUUAUUUUCUCAUUAAUUAAGAAGAUAAAGAUUUCCAAUGGGACAUAGACAUCAUUGCUAUCAAAUCUUUUGAAUUUUUGAUCUGAUCAUGUUUUGCUUGGAGAGAAGUAGAGGGUCAAGGUACAUCUCUACUUUUUGAACUAUCAUUUACGGAUCCUUAGGAACGUUUCCUCCAUGGCUGGUAAUCCAAUACCAGCAAGAAGAUCAUCUAAGCCUAAUUUGUUUUAGUCAAAACUAUUUUGAACUAAUUUCCAAUAAAUAAAAGCAAGAGCUUCAAGGAAUAACCUGACCCAUCAAACUUGAUUUGGAUUAAAAAAUGAGACAGAAUUGAUCAGUGUAUUAAUAUAUUAUAAUCAACUUUAAUAUCCAAAGCUAAUGUGACAAAUUCUAUGCAAUAAUAGAGUUCACACAAUCUCUCCUUAGAAUUUUAUUCCUUUUCUUUUUCAAAAAAUCAUGCCUCGUCUUGGUCCCAAUAUCUGUCUCAUUAUCUGAUUGGAAGGGUAAAAGAAAAUGAAUCCCCAUUUCUACCAGAAUUGGCCCUUGGGUGAAGCCACCCAAGCAAGGGUUUUAGGCCCCCAAUUUGAGAAGGCCCCAAUUUUAAUAAAGAUUUAUAAUUUUAUAAUAAUUAUAAUAUAAUUAAUUAUAUUAAAAAUAUAUAAAAAUUAAAAAAAUAUAAAAGUUAAAAAUAAUUAAUAAAAUUAUUUGUUCUUUCACUUUUUUAAUUAUGUACCUAAUAAAUCUUAAUUUUCUAUUACUUUUUUAUUUCUAAAAUACUAUUAAUUCUCAACUAUAUUAUCUUAUUUUCAAUAAACUAAUAGUCAUAUGUAUUUAAUAAUCUCCAACAACUAUUUUUUUCUCACUUAUUUCUUUUAUUUCCAAUCAACGCAUUUAACGAUUUCUAACAGCUAUUUUUUUUCCUAUAUAUAAAACUAGUUUUUUUUUUCAAUGUAUAAUAUCUACUUUUGAAAUCUUCCUUUCUCAUUUGCUCUUUCUUCCUUUAACUUCAAAUUUUCUCUAAAGAAUACACAACAAAUCUACUCUUUUUAUUAUCUUCAUAAAGCUGUAAGCCUCAUUUGAAAGAAUAUUGCCUCAAUGUUAAAUAUUCUUUAAAAUAUAACAACUAUUCCGAUAUUGAUGGUUUAGAUUUAUUUUCAAAGUUAAAAAUUUCAAAAGAAAUUAUACAGAAAGAAAACAGUACAAUUGAUAUACUUAAUCAUACAAGAAGACUCGAUUCUUUUCCAAAUGCAGAUAUAGCUUUUAGAAUAAUGUUAACAAUUCAAGUAAGUGUUGCUUCAGGAAAAAGAAGUUUUUCAAAACUAAAAUUAAUAAAAUCUUAUUUAAGAUCAACAAUAUCUCAAGAAAGAUUAAAUGGAUUGGUUAUAUUAUUAAUUGAAAAAGAAAUAUUUGAAGAACUUGAUUAUAAAAAUUUAAUUAAAAAUUUUGCAUCUCAAAAAGCUAAAAGAAUAAAAUUUUAAUAAAAAAAAACCUCAUUGAAAUAUUUCGCUUUAGGCCUUUGAAUUUAUUGGGCCGUCCUUGAUUUCUACCUUCCUUCUCGUCUUUUUGGCUAUACUCUGAAAAACAUUUGAUAGUGGGCCUAUACUCUGAAAAAUUGUCUGUAAAUGUUGUUGGUUUUACCUUAUUCCCAAUCCCAUCUCCAUUGCAAUGUAGUUAUAGUUAUAAAUGGCACCCAAACAAUGCUUUUCAUCCUUUUUGGCUAGUAGGACAUGGAACUACUAUAAUGAGCACUUUUGAAUUAUUGGUUUUUUUUUUCUAGUCUCUUUUUUAUUUUUUUAUUCAAAUAGCAAUGGACUCAAACAUCUUUUGCUUUAUGGAAUUAUAGGUCUCACUUUUUUUUAUAAAAAGCUUUAUUUAACAGGUAAUUAAUAUCUCAAUUCUAAAAUCUUAAAUUAUUAAAAUACGUUAUAUAUUUAGAUCGUUAUGUUAUAAAUUUUAACUACUAUCAAAAUCGAUUAUUAGAGGGAGACAAAUAAUUAAAUCCAUCAACUCAAUGAAAAAUUACAAUUAAAAAAUGGCUAGUAUUGAGAAAAGCAAAGCUAAAAGGAAUUUUAAGAAAGUAUUGUCAAUUUUUUUUCUCCUCGUGAUUGGGAAAACUUUUAUUAACCACUAAUGGAAAAAAAAAAUGGGCGAAGAAAUAGUUUUGGUCAAUCUUCGGCUAAUUGACUAUCUCUACCUCAAAGUAACAAAGAAACAUCAACAUGGAAUUAAGACUCUUCUUGGCUUGCCUUGAAAGAAUUAAGUCUACCACAGAAACUGAAUUUAUCAAAGUAAAAGGGAAAUUUCCAGAACAUGCAAGUAAAUAUAACUAUGUACUACUCAUUCAUACAAAUACUUACAGGUGACUAAAAUUACAAUACACAAAAGAGUGUAACAUUGUAAAAGAGAAGCAAAGAUCAGCCAGCUGCAAAUCAACUAAUCACUGAGAAAACCAUGUAUUCUUGGACUACUAGAAUUUCUCUCAAGAGUUAAGAACAUGUACCAAACAAGCAAAUGCAAUAAGAGGCGUAGAGUAAACUAGUUAUUCAUCACUGCAAAAUAAAGCUGAAAGCAGAGACCGUACCAUAAAGUAGACAGCUCAAAUGUUGUUAAGCACAAUCAAGUACCAGCCACCUGUAUCAUUGAAGCAAAGAACCUGUCAUAAAUCAUAAGCCAUUAGACAAGCACCUUAUUUAAGGAAAGAAAUAAAAUUGGGUUGAAAAGCCAUAUCUACCUGGGUUAGUUAUCCUCUGCUUCGUCCACGUUCAUAUAUAGAGGUAGUGUGUCUUCCUGAUAUCCAUAAAGCCAAAAUACAUCGUUGCAGGCGGCCUGAUUAUCAACUAUUUCUUCCUUAGUGAUCAAACCCUCCCUUCUAUCAUUCUCAACUUGUUCGGGUGCCUUCAAAACAAAUUAACAAAAAACAAAUGACAUAAAGCAAUAAAUCAAUACUGUUUUAAUUAUUUUCUUCUUAAGAUGCUAGGGAAGAAAAAGCCAACCAUUAUUAGUCUUUCUUUUUUCCUGAUCUGAGGAUGAGUCAAUUUGAAUCUUGCUUAUUGAGCAAAAAAUCAUACAUCAUUUAUUAAGUCAAAUGUGUGAGAAUUAUUAUUAAUUAAUUUAUUUUAGAAGAUAAUUAAUUUCACGUUUGAUUUUUAUGAAUAUAUACGAGAGUUUUACAAAAAUAUUAGUAGAUAUUCCUUCCAUCCCAUUAUGGUUAUCUUUCAUAACAUUUUCAAUCAAACGAAUUCAACUUUAAUUAUUAUUUUCCAUAAUGUAUAUCUCAUCGUUAGUUCUAUCAAUAUCAUUGUCAAGAACGACAAAUUAAGCAUAACAAAAGAAAAAGCUGAGUGGGUACCUCUGUUAUGGCAUGCACAACACGUUUUGAAUCAAUGCUGAAGCUUGUAUUCAACUUGGGGCAUUCUUUUACUUCAGCAUAAUGCAUACAGGGGAAUCGAAAAUGGUAACCCUGAGACAAACUCUUGAGGCUUGGCAGCUCUUUAAGAAGCAGUCCUUGCAAGUUAGGGAGCACUAUUCCCUUCUGAUCAUCUUCAACGUCUAAGUUAAAGACUCGCUCAAGUUUAGAGGCCCCAUCAAUUGAGAUGAUCUUGACUUUUGAAGGAGAACAGGUGAUACUAAGAGGAAAUAAGCUUUUCAAGUUGCUGCACUUAUAAAUUCUUAUAAUUUCAAGACUGGGGAAGGAUAUAGGUUGGAGAUGAGCCUGUGAUGAUGAUGCUGAAGUUUGAUCCAUUUCAAUGAUUUGUUCCAAUUCCUCACAAUGAUUUAUCUCCAAAUGGAUCAAAUGCGGCAAAUUUCGAACAAGCAUAGGAGAGAGGAGGUAUUUCAACCUAUUACACUUUGACAUAUGUAACCAUCUAAGACAUUGAAGGCUUGCAACUUGGAUGGGACCCUGCAACUGAUGUAAAUGCUCUAGCUGUAUAUUCUCUACCCUUGAGAAGAAUUGUCCAGCUUGCAUUUGAAAUAUCUUCACACAAUUUCCAACAGUUAUAUAUUCCAAAUUUACUAAACUCCAUCUUGAUUGAGAAUUAAUUGUGUUGCACCCCUUGUCAUUUCCCAAGUCAGAGAGGUAUAAUUCCUGCAAAGAUAUUAAAAUAUCUUAAUUUCAUUAGAAAUUGAAUAAAUUACAAAGGUCCAACAUAUUGUUACAUAAAUAUUGAAAGAGAAAAGUGCCUUGAAUCCCAAAGAAAGUACACAUCACUCUAUGCAUCUAAUGCCUCAUAAAUCAAGCAAUUACUUUAAUAUUUGUUUGAUUAUAAGUUUACACUGUGAAACUUGAUUACAAAGGUCGAUUAACAUAUGACUUGAAGAGUACAAAAUCGAAAGCGAACCUUUUUUGUAUGAAAUGAGGGAAAUAGCAAUUUUUUCUGUAUAUCAAUCUGGAAAUAGCACCCAGUCGUGCUUAGUUCAGUAUAAGUGCAAACAAAGUGGGGAAGGUAUUUUUUUUGUUUACAGGUUCUUGGAUGGGGAGAUUUUGUACUGAUAUUAUAUCUAUUGCUACAUUUCAGGGGUGAUGUUCUGAUCGCCCAUAUUAAUGCAUAUUAACUUUCAGAUAAAAAAACGAAAAAAAUCAGAAUUAACUUCUAAACUAAUGUGCUAUUCUUUUUUUUGCUUUUAAUUCAUGAGUUUUGAUUUUUAUAUUCAUCAAAAAUAAAGAGUAUAAAAUUAUUUUAAUGGCAAUUUUAAGAUAUCGUUGAAUUAGUUUAUGAAGGUUGAAAAGAUUUGAGUCCAAAGCAAAAUCUGGAACCACAAUUGAGGGAAAAGAGUAUAAAAAAAGUACCUUUAGUUGAGCCUGCUGGUUAACUUCUUUUUGAAUGGUGAAAUUUGACAAUUUAAGACAAUUGAAAACUACCAACUUCUCCAAGGAAGGCGCUGCAAUGAGAAAAUUUUUCCGAGCAAAAGCAACUCAAAUUUAUCAAGUUUCCAAGCCGGAGAUCUUGUAGGCAAGGGAGCACAAUGGCACGACCAACUCCAUUCUCUUCUUUUGUCACAUUGAACAGUUGUUGUAACUGAGGAGAAUUGCUUAUCCAAACGAAUUUCAACCGUGGAAGAACUUGAGCCAAUGGAGUUUGAAAAACAUAUUCCAAUUUUGGACAAUCACUUAUGGUAAGAGUUUCCAAUUUUGGCAAGAGCGGAGAAUAGGGAUGGUCUUCUGAUUCUAUUUCAUCAUCAAAUUCCAACUCAGUGAUAAUGUGUUGGAGUCCAUUGCAAUGAUCUAUCUUGAGUUGUUCAAGGAGCACCAAGCUUUGAGCAAGGAAUGGUGAGAAGAGAUAUUUCAAUCUAUUGCAAUAACUAAUUUCUACAAACAUCAAGCUUUGGAGGCUGACAAAAUGGGUGGACCCUUUCCAUAUCAACUUCAAUUCUGGUAAUGAGUGCAACUCCAUGAGUGUUAAAUUUGACAGCAGUGGUCCUUGAUUUUCUUUUGUAUCAUGUAGAAUCUCAUCUGUCUGAAAUACUUCUUGCAAUUGGCCACAAUUAAUAACUUUCACUUCCUUUAGAUUUUGUAGCAUAGGAGAUAAAGAGACCAUUUCCAUGCAAUUCGUUGCUUCCAACUUCUCUAGUUUUUGUAGAAAUCCCUUUGGAAUCAGACCGUUGCACAACAUUUUCAAACCAGUCAUUUCUUCUAUGACUAAUUCCACCAAAUUGAAGAAUGUAUUGGUUGAGACAUGGCCUUGUGUUGUAUCAAUCAAGCAUUCCAGCUCCUUGCCAUCUUUAAUUAGAAGAAAAGUUAAUUCAUUCAGUCCCUUUGGAUCCACAUUUGGAACCAGAUUUUUCUGAUACAUGACUCCUUUCAGCGUAAGACUUUUGGCAUUGUAUAAUAAAUCCUUCAUGGCAUGCAAUCCAAGGUCCUGAUAAAUUCACAACAAAAUGCUUAGUCAGGCAGAUUUUGUGCUGGUAUCUACAUUGCUACAGUGGUGUAACACCUCAAAAUCCUUUUACACAUUUCAGGGGUGAUGUUCUGAUCACCCAUAUUGAUGCAUAUUAACUUUCAGAAAAUCAGAAUUAACAUGCUAAUUAAUAUGCAAUUCUUUUUCUCACAGCAAUUUUAAGAUACCGUCGGAUUAGUUUAUUAAUGUUGAAAUAUUUGAGUCAAAGGCAAAUUUUAGAGCCACAAUUGAAGGAAAAGAGUAUAAAAGAAGUACCUUUAGUUGAGCUUGCUCGUUAACUUCUUUUUGAAUGGUGAAAUUUGUCAAUUUAGGACAGUCCCAAAAUACUAAAUUCUCCAAGGAUGGCGAUGCGAUGAGAAAAUUUUCUGAGAAAAAGCAACUCAAGUUUAUCAAGUUUCCAAGUUGUAGCUGUUGUAGGCAAGGGAGUGCAAUGGCACGAUCAACUCCAUGCUUUUCUUUUGCCACAUUGAAGACUUGUUGCAAUUGAGGAGAAUCGCUUAUCGAAACGAAUUUCAAUCGUGGAGGAACUUGAGCCAAAGAAAUUUGAAAAACAUAUUCCAGUUUUGGACAAUUACUUAUGGUUAGAGUUUCCAAUUUUGGCAAGAACGAAAAAUGGAGAUGGGCAUUUGUUUCUAUUCCAUCAUCAUAGACCAACUCGGUGAUAAUGUGUUGCAGUCCAUCACAGUGAUCUAUCUUGAGUUGUUGUAGCAGUACCAAGCUUUGAGCAAGGGAUGGUGAGAAGAGAUAUUUCACGCUGUUGCAAAAACUAAUUGCUAAAUACUUCAGGCUUUGGAGGCGAACAAAAUGGGUGGACCCUUUCCAUAUCCACUUCAAUUCUGGUAAUAAGUGUAGCUCCAUAAGUGUUAAAUUUGACAGUAGGGGUUCUUCUGUAUCACGAAGAAGCUCAUCUAUUUGAAAUACUUCUUGCAACUGGCCACAAUUAAUAACUUUCACUUCCUUUAGAUCUUGUAGCGCGGGAGAUAAAGAGACCAUUUCCAUGCAAUUCGUUGCCUCCAACUUCUCUAGCUUUUGUAGAAAUCCCUUUGGAAUCCGACCGUUGCACAACAUUUUGAAACCAAUCAUUUCUUGCAUGACUAAUUGCACCAAAUUGAAGAAGGCAUUGGUUGAGACAUGGCCUUCUGUUGUAUCAAUCAAGCAUUCCAGCUCCUUGCCAUCUUUAAGUGCAAGAAAAGUUAAUUCAUUCAGUCCCUUUGGAUCUACAUUUGGAACCAAAUUUUUCUGAUACAUGACUCCUUUCAGGGUAAGACUUUUGGCAUUGUAUAAUAAAUCCUUCAUGGCAUGCAAUCCAAGGUCCUGAUAAAUUCACAACAAAAUGCUUAGUCAGGCAGAUUUUGUGCUGGUAUCUACAUUGCUACACUGGUAUAACACCACAAAAUCCUUUUAUACAUUUCAGGAGUGAUGUUCUGAUCACCCAUAUUAAUGCAUAUUAACUGUCAGAAAAUCAGAAUUAGCAUGCUAAUUAAUAUGCAAUUCUUUUUCUAACAGCAAUUUUAAGACACCGUUGGAUUAGUUUAUUAACGUUGAAAGAUUUGAGUCAAAGGUAAAAUCUAGAACCACAAUUGAAGGAAAAGAGUAUAAAAGAAGUACCUUUAGUUGAGCUUGCUCGUUAACUUCUUUUUGAAUGGUGAAAUUUGUCAAUUUAGGACAGUCCCAAAAUACUAAAUUCUCCAAGGAUGGCGAUGUGAUGAGAAAAUUUUCUGAGAAAAAGCAACUCAAGUUUAUCAAGUUUCCGAGUUGUAGCUGUUGUAGGCAAGGGAGUGCAAUGGCACGAUCAACUCCAUGCUUUUCUUUCACCAUAUUGAAGACUUGUUGCAAUUGAGGAGAAUCGCUUACCCAAACGAAUUUCAAUCGUGGAGGAACUUGAGCCAAAGAAAUUUGAAAAACAUAUUCCAGUUUUGGACAAUUACUUAUGGUUAGAGUUUCCAAUUUUGGCAAGAAUGGAGAAUGGAGAUGCGCGUUUGGUUCAAUUCCAUCAUCACAGUCC
rnacentral:lncRNA from 1 species